CGUUGCAAGAAGCUGAAACAGCCAAUGUCAGAGUGGAUACUCAAUAGACUCACCUCUCUCACAAUCAGAGGGCCAUGUCCAAGUACAGAUAUGGAUUCCUUCCCAGAGGAGAAGGGCCUACUGCUUCCCUCUUCCCUAACCUCUCUUAAGAUCGAAGAUUUUAAAAAUCUGAAAUCAAUAUCCAGGGGCAUUCACCAUCUCACCUCUCUUGAUACAUUAGUAAUUCGAAAGUGCCCUAAACUCCAGUCCUUUCCCAAGGAAGGCCUUCCGAGCACGCUUGAAAGGUUGGCAAUCUUCGAGUGCCCCCUCCUGGAAAGACGAUGCAGAAAAGAGAAAGGAGACUAUUGGCGCUUUAUUGCCAAUAUCCCCUACCAUAAAAUAAAAUGAGGUAUAAUCUUUUUACUUUUGCUUGCAGCUUAAACUAUAACUGAUAUAUGCAACAUUUUGAAGCCAAAAUAGAAUAGAUAUAAAAAAAUUAAUUGCAUUCAAUUAUGUGGUGUUUCAAGUUUCAACCAUAUUACCACAUUCUGUUCAGAAUGGCGGUUGAGAAUGAAUUGGUGGUUGAGAAUGAAUUACAUGUUCUGUUCAGUUGGUUCUAACUCAUAAUGCAUAAAUUGGAAAAGUUUCUAUAGGUUUUAUUCUUUCAUUGUUCCGACACUGACAUGAGCUGAUUUUAUACAUAUCAAAUCUUGGCUGCAAAUAAUGCAAUUGUUUCUUCAGGUCUGCAAAAGCCGUGACUGCUUAGGCCAGGAUCGAGAUUGUCAUAAUCGUCUCAAAUCCAAUCCCUGCUGGUAAGGAUAACGGUUUCAUGGAUUCUUAGCAUUUCUAAUCCUAGGAGGGGUGUAUGGGGGAGGCCUGUUGGUCGGGUUUAGAUGGAUUAGUUAUGUUAAGUUUUUCAUGUUUUUAAUAAUAAAAUUUAAUUUUCAAAAAAAAAAAAAAAAAANNNNNNNNNNNNNNUCUUGUUUUUGCUACAUAUGACUACAAUGAGCAGUUGUUGACAAUUUAUCAGAGAAGAAUUCUGUUUCCUAUGUUGAGAUACUUAUAUGAGCAUAUUUGUUUAUUUAUUGACAAAGAUUUAAUGCUCUGGAAGUAUUAUUUAAAGUGAAGAAAGUUUACAGACAUUGGUUGAGAAUUUUUCAGAUGGAAAUUAUCCCUUUUUUUUUAACUGGAAUAGGGUCCGUCCUUCCUACAAAACAUCUAGUCAAGAGUCAACUGAUCUCAAAUGACUUGCUAUUCAUGCAAACAACAGCUCGUCUGCACUGAGAUGCAAAUAACUAUAUUGGCAAUGUGACUUUAUGGAGCAAAAUCUGAUUCUAAAUGAAAAAAUUACAUCAAAAUAAUCUGUAUGUUUCAAAAUCUAAUAAUAAUUUAUUUUCUUUUUCUUUAUGGUUUGUUGAUUAUGAAAUUUUUGGAAGAGGUUUGCCAAGAAGAGAGUGGUGAGUAAGUGAGAUUGUCUUGCAGGCUGAAAGGCAGGCACCUCAUGUCCAGCCCCUCUCACAGUAGCAUAAGUAAUGUCUCCUUUAUAAAUCUCAGUAUACCCACCAACUUGAAACACAAACAUUCAAACACAAACACAACCAGAAUUCUUAUAAUCUGAUGUUCUGUUAGAGUAUGAAAAGCCUACUCCAACAGGACACUCCAGAAACAGAACAUUUGCAACUGAAAAAAAAAAAAAAGAAAAAUUAAAAUUAAAAUAUGCCCAAAAAGAUUUAUUGAAAUGUGCAUGAGAAAUGUAAUUGUUGGCACACUAUUAAUUUAAAUUUUGAAAAUUAAUUUUUCAGAGGGAAUUCAUUAUUUUUUAUAAAUAUUAUUAUUAUUAUUACAAACAGAUAGUCCAAUUCUUUAAGUUAUUUCAAAAGUAAAAUAAUUAAGGAAUUACCAUUAUUCCAUGAAAAUCUGUUCUUGUAAAGUGUUUUGCCAUCACUAUAUACUCGAAAUGGUCCAAGCUCUUGCAUCAACCCAUAAGCCAGAGAUGAACAACCAGGGCCUGUAAAAAUAUUAAUGAUUGCUUUAAAUAACAGACAGUAAUAUUAUACAUUCAAAUUAAAAUUUAACAUAAUAAAAAGAAUACUAUUUUCAGGAAAUAAAUAAAUUUAGAACACAAAAGGGAGAAAAAUGGAAAAAGAAUACACUAAAUACCUCCAUUUAGCCACAGAAGAAGAGGCAAAGAUUUCUUAGAAAUUUCUUGAGCUUCAGCAAAAUAAUAAUAUAAGGCUUUUCCAGCUAAUUUAUCCACAGUAACAUAACCUCCAUAUUGUGAAAACUUAACUUGAGGUUGGCCAGCCAAUCUUUUGAUCCUAUCUUUUUCUUUAUCUUUUUCAUUUUCUUGAUUUAUAGUAAUAAUAGAAUCAAUUGUCCUAAAGUUGCUUGUGUCCAUACCAGAAUUCCCAUUAAGCUUGGAUUUGUAAAGAUUGCCAAGAACUUCACUUUGCCUCUUGCUAUGGCUCUGAGAUGUUAAAUAAGAAAAAAUGAAAAAGAACAGGAAUAUCAAACAUGGGUUUUUCCCCAUUGCAGGAAAAGGUUUUAGGGUUUUUGAUUUUUUGGAAUUUUGUUUCUUGAAUCCAAAUAAUGUGUUUAUAUAAGUAUAGGGGUGUGCGUGUGCGCAAUGGAGAGAAAGUAUCUAUAGAAGGAUUUUGUUUUCUGAUUUUCUAAUUUAGAUCAAUAUUAGUUAUUAUUCCCUCCAUCUUUUAAAAUUAUGCUUGUUUCUAUUUUCACGCAAACUAAUUAAAUGUAAUUAAUAUUUUUGAAUAAUAAAUUUGACCUAUAGGUAGUAGAGGGUAAAAGUUUUUAAUUUUUAAAACUAAAUAAAUAAUAAUUAAUAUUUCUUUGUUUAUUUUAUUUUUUUUAUCAGUUUCAUUUCAUCUGUGGCCAUUUGGGUAUUCUAUAAUGUUUUAUAAGAUUCUUUAUUGACUCAGCUAGUUAAUUAACUUUGUUUUCUAACUAUAUGAUUUACAGACAAGAAUUGCUAUGGCAUUGCCCCAUGCCUGUGUGAGCUGCUACUAUGUUUGUUAUGCAGAAAAUCCUGACAACAGAUUAUUCGAUAAAACAAUCAAAGAACGCCAAGAAUUGAUAAAAUCUGGCCGCGAUGUGGUGGUUCCGACGCCUAGAGUACCCCGGCGGUUUGCAUCAUAGUUCAUAAGCCAAGGCAAGAUUUUUCCAGGAAAAUGUGCAGAAGCAAAUUAAAAUUUGUGGUCACAGAUUGAACAUACUGUCAAAAAUGUACUAUUACUAUAGUCCCUUUCAAUUUGGGGUCCAGUAAUUCAGAAUUCAAGCUAAUCAAGCUAGAGAUGAGACAAUUUAACAUUAUCAUAUUUGCAUAUUCAUUUUAGGAUAUUCCUUAUUCCUUGAUUAAAGAGUUCCUCCAUUAUUUUAUUUAUUUAUUUAUUUAUUUUUGUUCAGUUUUAUGGUAAAUUAAAAACACUUGCCAUAGUUUAAUGUAAUUUUAGUAUCUGUUUAUGCAAUCUCCAUAUGAGUUGUGCAUUUUAUAUUAAUCAAUUCUUUUUUUUUUUUUCCUUAUCAUAGUUAAAGAAUUAAAAUAUGGGUUUUUCUUAAAUAAAAUAAUGCUUAGAACAGAAAUGGUGUGUUAGGUUUGCCUUCAUUAAAAUAUUGCACAAACUUAUCAAAAAUCAAAACAAAAUAAACUAAAAAGUACAAAAUAGACUAUUUUAAAAUACUUCAUGUGCAAUCGUAGAAUGAUUGAGAAAAUAAUUUUUUUAAAAAUUAUUAAAUUAAGUAUAAUCUGAUUGAUUUCGUAAUUUUUUUAAAAAUUAUUAAAUUAAGUAUAAUCUGAUUAAAUUUUUUUCACCAACACCAAGGAUGCAAGUUUUUUUUUUUUGGAUAAUUACUAUAUUAUCCUUAAAUUUUUAUUAAAUACAUUAAUAAGGACUUCGGCUUUCAAAAUUACACUAUUUAAUCCCUGUAUUAUAAUUUUGUUAUACUAUAAGUUCAAACAGUUAGUUUUUUUAUUAAGCAAUUAUGAAAUAUCAAACACCCUUGAAAGUAACUACUAUAUAAGGACUAAAUAGAGUAAACUUAUGAAAAUUGAGAUCUUUAUUAGUGUAUUUCAUCAAACCAUAAGGACUACAUAAUAAUUAUGUUUAGAGGUUAUUUUUGACAUUUCACAGUCACUUAAAGGAAAAAAUUAACAAUUGUAUUUUAUAGUAUAAUAAAAUUGUAAUGAAGGACUAAAUAGUAUAAUUUAAAAUACUAAUAUCCAUACAUAUUCGAGUAAAACCUAGAGACUACAUCGCAAUUGCUCCUUUUUUUUUUUUUUUUUUUUUUUUUUUCCUAAUUGAAAUUAUAUUAGAGUUCCUCAUCAAAUUAGCAACUUCUAAAUAUUCAAAACAGAAAGAUGAAAUGUUUUAUUGAAAUUUGAAUUUAUAAUGUAAUAAAUACCAUCAAGAAAGUCAUCUUCAAAAUUGCAUAAAGCCAUCUCUCUCUCUUUAAAAAGCCAAAAAAGGUUUGAACUUUGAAGGAAUACAUUGAAUAGGACAGGCACUGUGUAUGUAAUCAUAACAUAUAGGAAACUCUUCAAUUAUUGAUUAUUUCUUCCAUGCUCAAAAAAUGAAGAUUUUAUCUAGUGGGUUAUGGAGUAGAUUAGAGGCCAAGACUUUGACUUUUCAUUGCCAUUUUGACUGUUUGUAUUAUAUUCCAACUCUACAAAACAAGAAACAUAAAAUAAUUAAUGAAGCAAUAAAGCAGAGUCCUUUCCAUGAAUGUCUCUCUCAAAUAAAGGCCAAUUAGGUACUUUUUUUGUUUUUUCUUUUUUGAUGAUGCUAUGGCUAGAAGGAUUAGGUGGAGAAGGAAUAAUUUGGAACAUUAACAAUAUAGCAAGAGGAAAAUGCAAUUCAUUUUCCAAAUCACAUAUGCUAAUUUCUUUUGAUUUAACUAAUUAUGAAUGCUUGUUUUGAUUUAGCUAAUUACCAACGCUUGAAUUGAGAUAAUAUUUAAAUAAAACUCUAUUUUCAGUUGCAAUUUCAAAUUUCGAAUAUUGAUCUUAUUUUUUAUUUUAUAAUUUAUAAAAAUUACAAAAAUAUUUAUUGUCUUACAGUUCAUUACAAGAAUUAAAAAAACCUACAAAAAUUCGAAUGUUGGAAAUUAUUAAUGCUAUUUUUCACAUGAUUAAUAUUUUUUUUUUUUGUGCAAUAAGACAAUAACUAUUAAUAUUUCAUAUUUCAUUUAGGCAUAUGGCAAUCUAAUUUAUUUAUAUUUUAAUUUGAAAACUAAAUUAUAAAAAAGGUGGAUCAAUGCCAAUAUGCAUUCACCCAAGAAGUGCAUAUAAAAAUUAAUAAUCUCAAAAAAAUAUAUUAACAAAAAAAAUAAUAAAAAAGAUCAUUUACAUCAUGUAGAUACAUCAAGCGAAAAACUUUAGCAAAUUCUAUAAUCAUUACUACAACGAGUAAUAAAGUAUAAAUGAAAAUAAUAUAUAUAUAUUUGGAUGCCUCAUGCAAGUAUUAAAAGAAAUAAAAGCAAAGAAAUUUUUAAAUUUUGAAUUUAUUCCAAAUAUGAAAAAACCUAUAUUUGCAUUUCUAGUAUCAAUGAAAGAUUCUAGUAAAGAGAAACUGCAAAUUCGCAUGCAUGGAUUAGUUUAUUCUCUCAUUUCUUGAAUUUCCAUACUCUGAUGUACUUGCUAUUGUGUGUGGUAACCACCUUCUUCAUUCCAACAGCCAGGCAAGUGAUUGAAGGUCGAGCACUUCUAGGAAUUCGAUCAAUGUUGAUGUCACUAGGGAGUUUUCGCCCUUUUCUUCUUUCAAUUACUCCAUGUGCAUAUCUAGAGGAGCUUGAUGAGGUAUCAUGGUCGACAGUAUAGCUCGAGAGAACAACUCCUGAGUCCUGAUCCAGAAUACGCAGCACCCCGUCUAUUCCACCGGCUACUAAUGCUGAUUUGUCAUUUGUCAGGUGCUGCAAAGAAUAUAUAACAUUUGGACUCACUCGUGUCUCCCAUAAUUGUCUCAUCAUCCUGCAAGAUAACAAUAAAAAAUCAAAUUGCAACCAUGGGCAGGAGCUCCUAUAACAAAUAUGCCAUAGUCAGUUUCGACCUAAUACUGAAAUAAGGCAAGAACAAAAUCAAUUAUCAGAGCAGCCAUUUUGAUAAUCAACCCUACAGAGUAACAGGAUAAAGCCUCUGUCAUGUUUACUUCUGCUACAAACUAGCUAUGAUAGUACAAGUCCUAGAACCUAUAUCACAGUUUCGCUCUGGAAGCCUACUCAAUCUGUGUAUGGAUGACAGGAUACGUCACAAGCAAAUGUCCUAGCAGCAGAGUAAAGAAAAGAAAAUAGCUUGUCAAUAUCUCAUUCUACAUUCACAUAGAGCGCAACAAUGAAGGCCACCGACAAAAAUUUAGGCUGGGUCAGAAUUCAAAGUACACUAACUACCCAGUCAUCAUUUUUAACUCUGGCAGAAACAUCUAAUUUAGUGAUUGAAAUAUCCUACUUAUUGCUACCACAGAUAUUAUAUUACGGAGGAAUGAAAAAUAAAAGUUAUUCAUCUGGGAACAGUGAAUUGAUACCUGAGGUCCCAACAAGAUGUAUAUCCAGCUGUUGUUCCAGCAAACACUAGAUGAGAACGAGGGUUGAAACAUAAAGUCUUUAUGCCUGUACCAGGAAGUUGAAUCAGAAAUUCAGAAUUAUGUCAAGUCGCUUGUAAUGUGCAGUGCAUUAUUAGUUAAAGAGAAGGUGCAGUGGAAAAUUUAUCAUGUCUCAAACUGGCAGAUUAGGAAUCAAGAAAAGCACUCAGAGCCUGAAGAAGAAGCUGCAAGGAAACCACUGUUUUUUUCUUAUGAAUAUCUCAUCUGUUAUUAACCAAAAGGCAAGAAAGCAACUGCUUAAAAAAAGGAAUGAAAGAAUAACUGUAAAGAAUGCAAGAACACAUGAUGAGAAUGCAAUCAUAAUCGUAGUUAUUCUUGAUAGAGUGAAAAACAGUACGACCUGUAGAAUCAGUGGAUCUCAGUGUAGCUGCCCACUUAUCAGAUGAAUAACCAGACACCAUGAUCCUCCCUAGUGACGAACCACUAAGAAUUAACUGAUCAUCCCCCAAACAUAAGCAAGUCACAGGCUCUGGAUGCAUCCUACAAUUUGGAGAUGAAAACAUAACCAAAAAGAAUCCAUACAGAAAAAAAUCUUUAAAAAAAUGUAAGAAAUCAGGUUCUAACAUAACAACAACAUAAUAAGAAUACAGUCUACUGUCUUCUAUUUCGCAGGCAUUCUUCUACUAAACAAUUUAUUCAUUUGCCAGUGUCUAAUAGUCUAUCCAUUUUUCGCACACGUCCAGAAAUUGAAAUGGCUUUCCAAGAAUUAAUUGUCUGACCAUAACAGACCACCUUCUCUUGUAUGUUCACUCAAGUAAUAGAAUUUAACAUCCGAUGAUCUAAUGCACGAAGCAUCCGAUGUUUGUGGGGCUCUAGAGGGGGUUGAUGAAUAACAUCCAAGAAAAUUUUAGCUGUACAUACCUAAUGAUUUUAGAACAUUUCCUACUGUACAUAUCAAAAACACGAGCUGUCCCAUCCUCACAUCCAACAACAGCUUCUGGAUCAAAGUAACUUCAAGCAAAGAAUACAUCGAGUUAUUGGUCUGCUCAAAAGAAACCACACAACCUUGCACAAAGUUGAAGUCUCAAGACAAUUCAACUGUGAAAUAAAUGAAUAUAAAAUCCAGUAUUGCUCCAAGAAACAUUAGCAUAAUAACAAAAUUUGCUUCUGUCCCGCAUGCAUAAACCCUUCAUAAACGUGCCUUCACGAGAGGGAAAUGUAGUCAUCUUUCCAUUUCGCCUCCAUAAGCAUAUUCGUGUGCCAACCAAACCAACAAUCUACAAGAACAUGCAUUAAGCAAUUGGGAUAAAAACAGACACAUUACAUCAAUGCCUCCCAAUAUGAGAUACUUCAGAAUAAUGACAAAUUACUAAAGGUACCUUGCUCUCAUCAAAAUCAAAGUCAAUUAAGGGGCUUGCAUCUUGGAUUGAAUAUUCUUCCAUACAAUUGUAUGUUUCUAAUGACCAGAGACGCAUAACCUACCAUGAUAGCUAUACAAAAGUCAGCACAAUUGAGUUAUAUAACAUAUAUCACAUUUUGAUUUAGGAGAACAUCAGAGAUAUGCCACAGAAGCAAUCACAUCAAAAUAAGUUUAAGUUCUAGAACAAACAUAUAGCUAGCAAGUACUUUAGACAACUUUUACUGGUGUCAAACAUGACAUACGAAACAUUGUGUGUGUGUGAACAGGUCGAUAAUUAGACUAAAGUCAUCAGUAACAGUAGGUUAACGCCACCAUUUCAAAACUAUGUAAAAGAGAAGGUCACCAAAAAUUCAAAUGGAAGGAUAUUAAAAGGUGUGGAAUCCCACCAAUAUUUCUUUAAUUUCUCCCACUGCACCCGAUUUGUAAACGAAUUUUUUAAAACUAAUCCAAAUAAAUGAGCUUGUUAAUUCACAAACUAAUCCACUACUCCAAAAUUGAGGUUGGCUAAAUGAGAUUACAAUAUCUAGUCGUCUAUCCAAGAAAUCAAACAAAACACAAACUAAGAGCUUGUUUGGCAUAAAUGAAUUCCAUGAAAUUUCAUGGGAUUCAUUGACAUUUACAAAGCCAAUUUUUCAAAUUUGGUAUAAAUAAAAAUUCAUUUGGAAUUCCAUGUUUUAAAUUCUACAGAAUUGGUUUUUCUUGAACCAAAUGCUACAAAAAUUGGUAGAAUUUGCAAAUGAAUUCUCAACUUUAAAGGAACAGAAGUUACUAAAGGUAAUGAAGUUUAAGUACAAGACAUCAAAACAUAUUUAGAAUGAAUUCUAUGAAUGAUCCAAGCAUGAAUUUCCAUUUAUCAAUGAAUUUUUUUAAUGAAAUUCAUUUGCAAAAUGGAAUGAAUUCCAUAUGAAAAUUAUUCCAAAACUAUGUAACAGAAAUAGUAGAGAGUCAUCCAAUAGAAUCUGCUUUAAUAAAAGGGUAAAUAACAAAUAUGACUUAUAAUAAAAAACCCACCUAUCAGACACCAUAUUUAAUUAAAAAAGUGAUCAUACCUUGUCCCCCACGCCAGUAAGAAGCAAGCCCAUCUUCAUUCGACACUGAUCAACCCUAAUACAAAGCAAGGUUAGAGAAUUAACAUAUACAAGCUGCAAACUCCUGCAUAUAUAUACCCACUAAAUAAACCCCACAUAUUACUCAAAAAAAAAAAAUCAACCUUUUAUUAUUUCGUCAUCUUUCCAUAAUAAAUUUGAUACCAUUUUUAUCAACUCAACAGAAAAAUAAACAUAAAAUUGUAUUCAGCUGAAAAUUAGCUGACAAGAAAAUAAAUGGGAAGAAAAAAAAGAAGAGGAGAAUUUCAAUAAUUACCCAAGUGAAUGGCCUUUCCAUUGGUCAAUAUCAACAGAAGAAGCUUGAACUAAAGAUUGUCUAUGAUGCUUCAUAGCUAGCUCCUCAAAGUACAUAUUUAAAGUCCUCUCUGAACCGCCAUCAAUAUUUGAAAUUCCUAAAUAAUUAUCCUUCUGCUGCUUCAAAUAAAGCGCUUGCAGUAACUUUGAUCCUUUGAUUAUUGUAUUCCUUUAAAUGCAUAAAAGAGAAUAAAAAAUAAAACAAAAUUAUACACAAAUAUUUGGGGAAGGCAGAGAGAAGGAGAGUAAAACAGAAUUUACCAAGAUUUGCAGACAGCAGAACAGCGAACGAGGUCAAAGAGGUCCAGGACUGAGAAUAUUAUGCAAAGGAUGUCAUGCUCCAAAAAUUGGAUAGUGGUCGGACCUCUCCAGCUCCUCUUCUUCGCCGGCGACCGCUUUCCGCCUGGUGUGGGGCUCAUUAUCUUCUCUGUGAACUGGGUUAAUCAAAUCAUAGAAGAUCAGAGGAAACGAGCGACUGAAAAUCUCACAAAGCUGGAAGGGUGAACGUCGGCAACGACACAAUAAACACGCUCACAAAAUAAACCCAAUAUCAGAUGUAUUGUCGUUUUUAGGUAAUAUAAUUUAUGAGUUUAAACAAAAAGAAAAAUACUAUUUAGUCCCUAGAAUUUCUAAAAUAAAUAUUUCAAUAUAAUAAAAAAUUAAAUUUUUAUUUAUCUAUGUAGUGCAAAAUUUAGAACGAAAGUGAGAAAUUGGGAUGUCUAAAUACAAGUAUAACAAACUGCCAAGCACAGGAUAUUUUUAAUGGUUUACUCAAAGUAAAUGCUUUCUUUACCAUUAACAAUUAUGCAUUUUAGGUCAAACACAAUACCCGUGAUUCAUCACAAGUAACGAAGAGUAUUUGAUUCAGUCAAUUUGGUUAAUUCGAUUGAUUCGGUUAAUGAGAUCGAUUUGGACCGAUGAAUAAAUAUUCGAUUAGAAGUUCGAUUAUUGAAAAACUAAUGCAGGAGCCGCGAGUUCUAAGGGAUAACUUUUAUUUCCCUCAGAGAACUUCAACUCCCCUUCUUUCAGUAGAUAAUUGGCUAUUUCUUUCUCGUUUUAUCCCUAUAGUCUAGGCAGUGGAUUAACAAGCAUUAUGCUUUGCUUUGUCUACCAAUUCCUGUAACUCCAGUUGAAAGAUGAGACAAGACUCUUAUUCUCCUCCCAUCUAUAUACCACAUGUGAUUAUGGGUUAAAGGUUAAAUUAAAAAUUAAUUUAACUGAAUUAAUUAAAUUAAUCAACUUUCAAAAUUAAGUCGUUUGAUUAAGUAUAUAAUAAAAUUAAAAAUAUUUUAUUUUUUAUUUUAAUUAAAUAGUUAUUAAAAUGGUUAAAUUCGGUUGAUUAAUCAAGUUUUCAUUUUAUUUAAUUUCAGUUUAGUUAAUUAAUUCCACCAAAACAGUUUGGUUAAGCAAAAAAAAUUUCAAUUAAUUUAGUUAAAUUAAUGAUAAAAAUUAAUUCGAUUAAAACUGUUCAAUUAAAAAUUAAUUCGAUUAAUUAAAUCAAACUAAAAAUUUCAGUUAAAAAUAUUACUUAAAUACACAAUUAGCGAAAUGCUGACCCGUAAAUUCACAAAUUACGAAAUCGUUUUCUUUUUUAUUUUUUCAAAAAUUUCCUUUUAAGUUUUAUCAAAUAGAAAAAAGAAAUUUUUUCAUUUUUUUUUAUUGAAACUUUUUUAAAUUCUUUAACUUUACAUGAAACAAAGGAUAUGUUUUUUCUCCUCUGGACAUUUUUAUUGGGUGGACAACAAUCCUGUUAAAGAUUGUCUUGUCAACUUCAAUUUGGAUAAAUGGGACCGCAAAUACCAGAAAAAGCUGUUUUCUUCACGUGUUUAUGAAAGUUACCAGAGAGUAGGAAGAAGAAAAUAAAUUGGUAUUGUACAAGAGUUAAAGUAAACGUCCUUUCUUGAAGAUUACAUAACUCUUCUUGGCCAUUUUAGCUUCUCGCUUUCAGUCACCAACCAAUUUUUUUGUUUGCUAUUGCAUCUUCCUUCCUUUGGAGUCUUUGAUAUUGCAACUCCCGUUUCAAUCACCAACCAAUUCUUCAACUGCUCGAAUUUUCUGCUGAAAAUUUUGGUCAUCCUCUCUUAAUUUGUGAUGGAAAUUGCAGUUGCUAUUGGAGGUGCUCUUCUAGCACCUGCCUUUGAGUCUUUGUUUCAUAAGUUAGGCUCCCAGGAUUUGCUCAAUUAUGCCCGUGAAGGACAUGUGCUGACUGAAAUCAACAAGUGGAAGGAGAUGUUGAAGAUCAUUUAUGGGGUUCUUGCGGAUGCAGAGGAGAAGCAGAUGGUGAGCAGGGCGGUGAAGACGUGGGUAAGCCAGUUGAGGAACCUGGCAUAUGAUUUGGAGGACAUUCUUGAUGAGUUUGAUUUUGAGGCUCGGCGAUCCAAGUUGAAAGCUAAACCUGUGACUGGUUCAAGUAGGGUACGAAAGCUCAUCCCUAAUAUUCGUGCUGUUAAAUUCAAUAGAGAGAUGGUUUCCAAGAUAAAGGGAAUUAGUUCCCAAUUAGCAAAGAUCACCUCACAAAGAAAUGAACUAGAUUUGAUAGAAAGUACCGGUAGUUUGAAGGAAAGAAUUCCUGCGACGUGCUUGGUGAAUGACGCCGAGAUUUAUGGGAGGGAGAAAGAUAAGAAGGCGAUUCUUGAACUUUUGAAUUCUGAAUCGACUGAUGGAAGGGUCGCUCUGAUUUCUAUAAUUGGACUGGGAGGUAUUGGUAAGACAACUCUAGCGCAGCUUAUCUUUAAUGAAGCUGGAAAGAAGUUUGAUUUGACGGCUUGGGUUUCUGUCGGUGAAGAUUUUGACGUGGUUAGACUUACAAAAAUAGUUCUUCAGUCGGUUGGUGGAGAUCUUACUUCCAACGAUUUUAAUUCGCUUCAAUUAAACUUGAAGGCAAGGCUGUCGGAGAAGAAGUUUUUUAUGGUUCUAGAUGAUGUUUGGUACGAGAAUUAUGACCAUUGGACAGACUUUCUUCGCCCGUUUGAGAAUGGGGCAAAAGAAAGUAGAAUUAUCGUCACAACUCGCAAUCUUGGCGUUUCACGGACGAUGGGUGCUAUUCAAAGUUAUACACUUAGAGUGUUGGAGAAUGAUGAUUGCCUGUCUGUGUUUGCCCAUCAUGCUCUUGGAGUAACAAAUUUUGAGGAGCACUUGGAUCUAGAAGCAACAGGUAAGAAGAUUGUGGAAAGGUGUCAAGGCUUACCUUUGGCAGCUAAAGCUAUUGGAGGUCUCUUACGAGGUCAACCAACUCGUGAUGCAUGGGAACAAGUGCUAAACAGCGGCAUUUGGGAGGAGAAAAGCGACAUUCUUCCAGCAUUAAAGUUGAGCUAUCACCAUCUUCCAUCUCAUCUGAAACAAUGUUUUGCUUAUUGUGCAAUUUUUCCAAAAGAUUACGAAUUCGAUGAGGAUGAGUUGGUUCUACACUGGAUGGCAGAGGGAUUUCUACAGCACGCACAGGAAAUGAAGCAAAUGAAACGCUGGGGUCAUCGAUAUUUCCAGGAUUUAUUAUGGAGAUCCUUUUUUCAACAUUCUACUGGCAAUAAAUCACGAUAUGUAAUGCAUGACCUACUCAAUGAUCUAGCUAAAUCUGUAAGUGGAGAAAUACGCCUCCAUUUGGAUGAUGAUGAGUUGAAGGGCAUAAAAUCACAUGCAAACGUUCGCCAUUCAGCGUUCGUUUGUCAUCAGUAUGACAAGUAUCAAAGAUUUGAAGACUUUUAUGAGAUGAGUAAUCUGCGAACAUUCUUAGCAUUAUCCACUGAUCGAUGGCGAGGGAAUUUUUUAUCUAUUAGAGUGGUGCAUGACCUAGUGCCAAAACUGAAACGUUUAAGGGUGCUAUCACUAGCUCGAUACCAGUUUGAAGAGUUGCCAAGUUCAAUUGGCGCCUUAAAGCAUUUACGAUAUCUUGACUUGUCUUACAACAGUGAGAUUAAAAGAUUACCUAAUUCACUGAGUGAUCUUCAAAACUUGCAGACACUGAAGUUAUGUGAGUGUCGGAAUCUUAUUGAGUUGCCCACAGGCAUUGGCGCUUUAAUCAAUUUGAUGCACCUCGAUCUUAAAGGCACGGAUGCUUUGCAGAGGAUGCCGUUGGGGGUAGCUAAUUUGAUAAAUCUUCAAACAUUGUCGAAGUUUAUCGUGGGAAAAGGAAGUAAUUGCCUUGGAAUUAGAGAGCUAAUGAAGCUCCCUCAUCUAGAAGUACAACUUCGUAUUGAAGAGCUACAGAAUGUGGCAAGGAUUGAAGAUGCGAAUCUCGUUGAUUUAAAGAAGAUUGAGAAUCUUGGUGAUUUGGCUUUGGUAUGGGCCCAUAAAUUGCGUGAUUCACCACGCGUAGAGGAUCAUGAAGUCCAGUUUCUCAACUUGCUAGAACCUCAUCAAAAGUUGGAAAGGCUUUCGGUUCAAUUUUAUGGCGGUAAGCAAUUUCCGUUGUGGAUAGGAGAUCCUGCAUUCACAAAUAUGGUGGAUCUAGAGCUCUUUAAUUGUCGGAAUGUUACGUCGCUGCCACCACUAGGUAGACUAUGUAAACUGAAAAAGCUGAGCUUCAAAGGCAUGGAUGAACUGCUAGAAGUAGGGCUUGAGCUUUCCCCGUCUCUUGAGAUUCUAGAAUUUACGGAUAUGUUGAAGUUGAAGCAAUGGGCUCACUCUGAUGACGUCAAUGAAGAGGUUACAAGAAAAUUUCCUAGAUUACGUGAAAUUAGGAUAAGGAAUUGUCCUAAAUUGGUUGUGACAUUGCCUACCUCCCUUCCUUCCCUUGAGCAUUUGGACAUUGAUGGAUGUCAAGAUAUUAUUCUCGAAAGUGUGCAUGAUCUAUGUUCCCUUCGAGCCUUGUCCAUUUGGAGUAUUUCAGCGCUUGAGAAUUUACAUCAAGUGGUUACGCAGUCCUUGGUGGCGCUAGAGUAUCUGUGGAUUACUGAUUGCAGCCAAUUGAUACACCUGUGGCGGGAUUCAACUUAUUUUGACAAACUUUCUUGCUUGAAAUCUUUACAGAUCCAAGGGUGUCAGAAGCUAGUGUCGUUGGUAGGAGGAGAGGAAGGGAAUUUGCCUUGCAAUCUUGAAAUUUUGUCGAUAUGGGACUGCGAUGAAUUGAAGAUUCUGCCAAAUGGGUUGCAAACCCUCACAUCUCUUAGAGAGCUGAAAAUCCUUCAGUGCCGAAACCUUGUGUCCUUCCCAUCUGCAGGUUUACCUUGUAGUCUUAAAAGUCUCGAAAUCAAAUAUUGUGAUUCUCUGGAGUCCUUGCCUAAGGGCAUUGUGCAUGAUAGUAACGCCAGGAAUGAGAUGUCUCAUCUUGAGGUUGUGCGUGUCAAAGGAUGUCCAUCUCUUACAUCGCUUCCAAUUGGUGAAUUUCCCUAUUCAAUUAAAAAUAUUGAAAUUUGCUUUUGGACGACACAACUUUUGGAUUCAUUUCAUAAUAGGUUCUCGCAUCUCACCGAAUUAGCAAUAGAUGACUCUCAGUUGGAGUCUUUCCCAGAAAGUGGAUUGGCCAUCCCCAACCUUUGCCAUUUAACCAUCGCCAACUGUCGGAAUUGGAGGUUGCUUCCCAAUCAAACCCCAAACCUUACUUCUUUAUCCAUAUGGCAUUGUGAGAAUUUGAGAUUUCUUCCCAAUCAAAUGCAAAAUCUUACAUCUCUUCAACGUUUAGAAAUACAUUACUGUGGAGGUCUUGUGUCCUUUCCAGAUGGCGGUUUACCCCCAAAACUAGGUAGUCUUAUAAUCUCGCAUUGCGAGAAUCUGAAACAGCCAAUGUCAGAGUGGAUACUCAAUAGACUCACCUCUCUCAUAAUCAGAGGGUCAUGUCCAAGUACAGAUAUGGAUUCCUUCCCAGAGGAGAAGGGCCUGCUGCUUCCCUCUUCCCUAACCUCUCUUAAGAUCGAAGAUUUUAAAAAUCUGAAAUCAAUAUCCAGGGGCAUUCACCAUCUCACCUCUCUUGGUGAUUUAAUAAUUCGAUAUUGCCCUAACCUCCAGUCCUUUCCCAAGGAAGGCCUUCCGACCACACUUGGAAGCUUGACAAUCCAUAGGUGUCCCCUCCUGGAAAGACGAUGCAGAAAAGAGAAAGGAGACUAUUGGCGCUUUAUUGCCAAUAUCCCCCAUUUCACAACUGAAUAUUCCAAACUCUAGAGGGAAUAGAGAAUGAAGGGAGCCCUGAAAUACAAUGAGGUAUUAAUCUUUUUACUUUUGCUUGCAGCUAAAACUAUAACUGAUAUAUGCAACAUUUUUAAGCCAAAAUAGAAUAGAUAUAAAAAAAUGAAUUGCUUCUGUUCAGAAUGGCUGUUGAUAAUCAAUUGGUGGUUGAGAAUCAUGAGUUCAUUAUAGCUAAAACUACAGGUCGUCUGCACUGAGAUGCAAAUGACUUGCAUUUGCAAGUGAAUUUGAGAUUUUAUAAGUAACUAUAAUGGCAAUGUGACUUUAUGGAGCAAAAUCUGAUUCUGAAUGAAAAAAAUUACAUCAAAAGAAUCUGUAUUUUUCAAAACCUAGUAAUAAUUUAUAUUCUUUUCUUUUGCUUUGAGGAGGCAAAUUUUUUUUCUUUUUCUUAUGAGACUGACCUAUAAACCAAGAUUCUUACUCCAUUUUCCAUGAACUCCUUGAGCAAGGGAAGAAUUGUUGAAGGGCUAUCUGUCCACCUAUCAAUAAUAUCACUACAUGGUUCCCAAUCAUGAUCAAGCUUAGUGACAUUGGCAUGCAAAGCUUCUUGCACAUCAGCCCUAUUGAAAUAAGCAUGCACAUAAUAGUCACUGCAUGGAUCAAAAUUAUCCAGCUGCAAGAUAAAACAAACCAAUUUUAGUUAUAUAUAUAAAAUCACAUUUCUGCAUCUAUAAAAAAAUUGUGUUAAUCAACUUACUGAAGCCUUCUUGGGGUGAGCUGUAAUAUUCUCAUCAAAGCACAAAGGAGCAUUAAUGUUAUAAAUGUCAACAGCUUGAGAAUAUUUGUCAGCCUUCUCAGUAGCUUCUCUGCACUCUUUGCAUGGAUGGUUGAUAUACUUGGGUGAGAAAUUACAGUGUUUUUAUAUUUUUUGCAGUGUUUUUGGUGAAGAUAAAACAUGGGUUGUAAAGAAAGUAUACAUUCCUAGAGUAUCUGUUUCAUCAUUUAUCACUGCAUUUCCAAUCUGCAUUUUCACAGAUAUAAACAUACGGUUAGCUUCAAUUUCAAUAAUUUAUAUGCACGGAAACUUCUAGCCAUGAACGUUUUAUGUUUCGGAAACGUUUCCACUUUUCCAGUAUAAAAUACCGUUUUUCCGAGUAAAAUUAUGUUUUAUAUGUUAGAAAGGCACAUACUGCAAUUCCUUUGAGGUUGAUAAUGGUUUUGUUGGCCUUCUUGUUGUAGUAAAGGAUGGUAUGUGCAAGCUGAGGAACAUAAUGGCCUGCAUAGCUUUCUCCAGAAAUGUAGAAAUCUCUUCCUUUAUAUUCUGGAAAUCUUUGAAGCCAAUUUACCAAAAACAAAUAAUUUUCUGUUGCUGUAUGUCUAUCNNNNNNNNNNNNNNNNNNNNNNNNNNNNNNNNNNNNNNNNNNNNNNNNNNNNNNNNNNNNNNNNNNNNNNNNNNNNNNNNNNNNNNNNNNNNNNNNNNNNNNNNNNNNNNNNNNNNNNNNNNNUUAAAAUAUGCCCAAAAAGAUUUAUUGAAAUGUGCAUGAGAAAUGUAAUUGUUGGCACACUAUUAAUUUAAAUUUUAAAAAUUAAUUUUUCAGAGGGAAUUCAUUAUUUUUUAUAAAUAUUAUUAUUAUUACAAACAGAUAGUCCAGUUCUUUAAGUUAUUUCAAAAGUAAAAUAAUUAAGGAAUUACCAUUAUUCCAUGAAAAUCUGUUCUUGUAAAGUGUUUUGCCAUCACUAUAUACUCGAAAUGGUCCAAGCUCUUGCAUCAACCCAUAAGCCAAAGAUGAACAACCAGGGCCUGUAAAAAUAUUAAUGAUUGCUUUAAGCAACAGACAGUAAUAUUAUACAUUUAAAUUGAAAAUUUAACAUAAUAAUAAUAACAAUAAAAAGAAUACUAUUUUCAGGAAAUAAAUAAAUUUAGAACACAAAAGGGAGAAAAAUGGAAAAAGAAUAUAUUAAAUACCUCCAUUUAGCCACAGAAGAAGAGGCAAAGAGUUCUUAGAACUUUCUUGAGCUUCAGCAAAAUAAUAAUAUAAGGCUUUUCCAGCUAACUUAUCCACAGUAACAUAACCUCCAUAUUGUGAAAACUUAACUUGAGGUUGGCCAGGCAAUCUUUUGAUCCUAUCUUUUUCUUUAUCUUUUCCAUUUUCUUGAUUUAUAGUAAUAAUAGAAUCAAUUGUCCUAAAAUUGAUAAAGCUCCGGCCUCGCUUCCUCUCUCUUCUUUCUUUUCUGGCGUAUACAGAAGGCGCAGGAGAGCCGCGACUUCCUUCGAUCCGGAAAUCCCGGCNNNNNNNNNNNNNNNNNNNNNNNNNNNNNNNNNNNNNNNNNNNNNNNNNNNNNNNNNNNNNNNNNNNNNNNNNNNNNNNNNNNNNNNNNNNNNNNNNNNNNNNNNNNNNNNNNNNNNNNNNNNNNNNNNNNNNNNNNNNNNNNNNNNNNNNNNNNNNNNNNNNNNNNNNNNNNNNNNNNNNNNNNNNNNNNNNNNNNNNNNNNNNNNNNNNNNNNNNNNNNNNNNNNNNNNNNNNNNNNNNNNNNNNNNNNNNNNNNNNNNNNNNNNNNNNNNNNNNNNNNNNNNNNNNNNNNNNNNNNNNNNNNNNNNNNNNNNNNNNNNNNNNNNNNNNNNNNNNNNNNNNNNNNNNNNNNNNNNNNNNNNNNNNNNNNNNNNNNNNNNNNNNNNNNNNNNNNNNNNNNNNNNNNNNNNNNNNNNNNNNNNNNNNNNNNNNNNNNNNNNNNNNNNNNNNNNNNNNNNNNNNNNNNNNNNNNNNNNNNNNNNNNNNNNNNNNNNNNNNNNNNNNNNNNNNNNNNNNNNNNNNNNNNNNNNNNNNNNNNNNNNNNNNNNNNNNNNNNNNNNNNNNNNNNNNNNNNNNNNNNNNNNNNNNNNNNNNNNNNNNNNNNNNNNNNNNNNNNNNNNNNNNNNNNNNNNNNNNNNNNNNNNNNNNNNNNNNNNNNNNNNNNNNNNNNNNNNNNNNNNNNNNNNNNNNNNNNNNNNNNNNNNNNNNNNNNNNNNNNNNNNNNNNNNNNNNNNNNNNNUGCAAACCAGUGGAUAUAUUAUGGGUAUUGAGUAGAGAAUUUUGAAUUCCUUGAGCUAGCAGCAAUGAAUUAGUUGGUCCCUUGAAUUUUAUAGUGUUUAGGAUGAAUAUGUGAAGUUGUAAACUAAGUUCUAGUAGGGUAGUGAGUUAGCUAGUGUGUAAAAUAUGAAAAUAACUUUUGGAUUUGGCAGCAGUUAUUUCAGUUUAUUUUUGUAAGUAAUUUUCAGCUUUCUUCUUCAUGCUAUGUGAUUUCUUGCGACUAGAUUAAAGAAUUUGAGCUUGGAUGGUAGUUGUGAUGGAGUUAGGGAUCUUAAAUACUGUUUAUGCGAGAUUAUUGAAAUAAAUUCCCAAAAUUUAUGCUGCCAUUGAUAUUAUAAAUUGAAUUUCUAUGAAGUAUAGUAUAAGAAUGUAACACUUGAAGAUAUAGACUUGAGAUUGAGCAUGAAUUUCUGUUUGUGAAGAGCCUUGGGAUUCAAAAAUGUGCUUAAAAUAAUUUGGGAAUUUUGAUAUUAAUCUCUAAUUGAAAUAUAAACUGAGAUUUAAUGUAAAAAUUGUUAGUUUAUAUGAAUUAAUAACCCCUUAGAUGGCAGUAGUUAGAUGGUUAUUUGUAUGAGUUUUGUUAUGAUAAGAAGCAAGUGAUGUUUUAUAUCUGUUUCUCGGUGGAAAUGAAUAAGUUACUUUUUUGUAAUGGCAGCAGCUAUGUUACUUUUUUUUUUUUUAUGAGUUUUGAUAAUAUUAAGAUGAGAACUUAUGUUGCAUAUCUGAAUCUUGGUGGAAAAUAAAACAAUUAGCUUAUGUAUUACAGGGGCCAAUCGCAAACUUUGCUAUUGUUCCUUAAUGGAAGUAUAACCUGGAAAUUGCAAAUGGAAUAAUAAUUACAUAUAGUUAUAUUAGAUUUUGAUUUAGCGAUUGAGAAAUUUUUUUGCAACGGCAACAGCCAUUCUUGUAAUUUGCUUGGAUUAUUGUCUUGAUAUGAGUUAUAUGAUGUUGUGAGUGAAUUUUGUGAUGGGGAAUGAAUUAAUUAUAUACGGCGUAUGAGUUUGGUGAAGUAAAACGAUGAUUUCUUGAAAUUAGAGGUAGCUAAGUGAGUAUUUCCCUAAUUAUGGAUUGUAGCAAGUCAAGAUAUUAGGUGCUUUAGUUAGUUUCACAUUGGUUACAAGAUAUUGGAAGUAGUUUCGUUUGGAAUAAGAUUUAAUCAUAAUAUUCUCAUUCUUUGUGACUGAAAGGAAAAAGGAAGACAUAAAAAUAGUUGAAUGUGAAUUGGAAUUUGAAAUUUUCAUUUUUAUUUUUAGAAUAGUAGCUUGAUGCAUUUUUAUUUGUUAUUUAUUUAGUUAGAUAAGAGAAUGAAUAUCAUACUUAUAUUUUUAGUACAAUAUGAAGGGAAUAGAAAUGUCUGUUUUUGUUAACUAGGCUAGUUAAAGCUAAUUGUGUAAAUAUGCUUAUAUAUAUAUAUAUAUACACAAGGAUUAAUAGAUGAUUUUAUUUAGAAUAUAAAUUAAAUUUUCAUUAAGAAUGUAAAUUAAAAUUUAUGAAGAAGUUGUGAUGGUUGGAUGACGAUGUUGGUAUUAAGAGGAGGUUGGGUAUUUGAUUUGAUUGAAUACCCAAUAGAUGGACUGUGUGUAUUGAUUGAAAAUAUUUGACAUUAUUAUGAUAUUUAAUCAGGUGGAAACUCCUAUUUUUAGGGGAGGUUCUGCUAAAAUUUCUGAUACGGAUCCGCCAUCAUUUAUCCAUGGAGCUCAAAGGAACAAGGAGAACAACAUGGAAAAUCCAUUAGUGCUUCCUAGUGGAUCAAUUACAAGAAGUUAUGCAAAGAAAUAUGGAACAACCAUAUCUUUAUACAUUCAAGAACAAGCUAUACAAGAGCUCCAUGACAUUGCUUCCAACAAGUGCUGUGUAGAACUUCAAGACAGACCUAAAAUUCUUGCACUAAUUGAAGCAUACGUUGAGGAAAACAAGAAGCAUGCCCGUGCUAGUUGGCACACCCAGACCGUGCUAGAGUCUGACUUGAGGAAGGAAAGCAAUAGCAUGAAGCACGCCCGUGCCAAACAGCACGCCCAAACCGUGCUACAUUAGCACGCCCGUGUCGGAUAGCACGCCCAGGCCGUGCCAGAGUCUGCCUCCAGCAAGAUUAGUUAGUUUAUUUUGAGUUUUAACAAUGUUAAUGGGUUGGGCCUCCUAUAAUUUGGCCACCUUUGGUUAUUUUAUCCUUAUUUUGUUUAGAUUUAGCUAAUCUUUAGUUAGUUAGGAUUUGUUAUUCCUAAAUCCUUAAAUUGUUGAGGUUUGUUACUCUUAUCCUUAGUUGGUUUAGAUUAGCUAAAUCCUUAUCCUUAGUUGAUUUAGAUUAAUUAUUCUAAAUCUUUAAGGAUCAGGACCUCUUAGAUUUAGUAUAAAUAGCUUGUUAUAUUGUAAAACAAAACACAAUUCAAUGAAAUAGAAAUUCUUCAAAUUUGUUCAUGCUUAGGCAUGUUCCUUUCAUUAGAGAGAUUGUGAGAGUGCAUUACUCUAAUUGCAUCAAGAAUCAAGGUAAACUUAUCAAUUUAUUUGUGGCGUUUAUCUUAUUCUUUUACUCUAUUAUUGGUGUUCUUGCUUCUUUAAGCUUUGGGUGCCAUAGAGGGGGAGUCUAGUUUGAUCUUUGAUCUCUUCCAAAUCUUAUCAUAGAGUUCUUGGAAUUAAUUUUCAUAGGGUUCCGCGUCAAUUUCUACAAAAUCUUGAAUAGUCAUACUUAAUAAAUAGGUUAUUAGAUUUAUUUAGAAUGAUUUCUUAUUCUGAUUAGGAGGAAUUCUUUAUUUAAUUUUUCUCCCCUUUCAAUUCUAAUUCAUAUAGAUAAUUCAAGAUUGUCUUAUGCUUUGAAAAAAAAAAAAAAAAAAAAAGAACUACAAUUAGAGUAUUCCCUUUCUUAUUGCCGCGAGUUAUAAUAAAUAGUAUAUUAUCAAUUGCAUCGUGUAUACAUACAUUAUUAUAUAAUAUUACAAUUUCUUGCUUAUUUAAUUAUUAUUUAUUUAUUUAUUUAGUUUAUAGUGUAAAUAUCCAUUAUUUUGCACUUGACUUAUAUAUGUGUAUAUUUGAACAUUUGCAUAACAAUGUUUGUUUAUUUAAUGUGCUUGCAUUUGAAUGCAAUGUUUAAUUGGAUGUGUUGUGAUGAUGAUAUGCUUUGUUUGCGUGGAAUUGAGACGAAGUGGGUCACCAUUGGGUUUUUUAGGGCGGUCUACGAUACCGUCAGUCAUAUACGGGGAGAUCGGCGCAACCGUGUGCAUCUGAUGAUAUGGAUUAUAUGAAAAACCACAGGGUGACCUCCUGUUGGUAUAGAAAGAAAAGAGAGCAUAAAAAAAAUUAGUGGGCUGGUCAAGUGAGAAUUAGACCGAUCGGCCAUGUAUGAGGAUCGGCCAUGUAUGAGGAUGAGACCAGUUGGCCAUGUAUUAGUGGUUGACAAUAAAUUACAUGUUCUGUUCAGUUGGUUCUAACUCAUAAUGCAUAAAUUGGAAAAGUUUCUGUAGGUGUUAGAAGUUGAAGAAUCUCACCUCUCACCUUGCAUAUAGAUGACAUUUUCUCAUGUCAGUACUUGAGUACUGCUAUUAUAGCUUUUGUUCUUCAUUGUUCCGACACUGACAUGAGCUGAUUUUAUACAUAUCAAAUCUUGGCUGCAAAUAAUGCAAUUGUUUCUUCAGACUUUCGGGACUGCUUAGGCCAGAACUCGAGAUUGUCAUAAUCGUCUCAAAUCCAAUCCCUGCUGAUAAGCAUAAAACUUUGAUGGAUUAUUUUCGAUGUUUUUGGUUUCUACAAUCUACAACUGUAAUUUUAUAAAGACUGCUAUUAGUUAAGCUUGCAAAGUUUGGUGAGAUACUCCAAAUUUUCUAUUGAUGUUUUAUUUUCAGAUGUUAUUCAGCCAGGUAUUUUCACUUGGCAUUUCUAAUCCUAGGAGGGGUGUAUGGGGGAGGCCUGUUGGUCGGGUUUAGAUGGAUUAGUUAUGUUAAGUUUUUCUGGAUGAUGGCUUUAAUAAUAAAAUUUAAUUUUCAAAAAAAAAAAAAAAAAAAAACACCGAUCUUGUUUUUGCUACAUAUGACUACAAUGAGCAGUUGUUACCAAUUUAUCAGAAAAGAAUUCUGUUUCCUAUGCUGAGAUACUUAUAUGAGCAUAUUUGUUUAUUUAUUAACAAAGAUUUAUCAGAGAAGAAAGUUUACAGACAUUGGUUGACAAUUUUUCAGAUGGAAAUUAUCCUUUUUUUUUUUAAACUGGAAUAGGGUCCAUCCUUCCUACAAAACACCCAGUCAAGAGUGAAUUUGAGAUUUUAUAAGUAACUAUACUGGCAAUGUGACUUUAUGGAGUAAAAUCUGAUUCUGAAUGAAAAAAUUACAUCAAAAGAAUCUUUACGUGUCAAAACCUAGUAAUAAUUUAUUUUCUUUUUCUUUUGCGUUAAGGAGGGAAAUUUGAACUAGAAUUUAUAGUCAGGUUAUAUAUUUAUUUACCACUACUCUAUUACGGCUUGUUGCGCAUAAAUCCAAUAAACUUAAGCCUAAUAAUUUGGCUAUUGUUUAUAAUAAAUUAACACAAUAAAAUUCUAGUAAUAAAAAAAAAAAUUGAGUUACAUAAAUUAUGAAAUUUUUGGAAGAGGUUUGCCAAGAAGAAAGUGGUGAAUAAGUGAGAGUGCUCUUGCAGGCUGGAAGGCAGGCACUUCAUGUCCAGCCCCUCUCACAGUAGCAAAAGUAAAGUCUCCUUUAUAAAUCUCAGUAUACCCACCAACCUGAAACACAAACAUUCAUCCACAGCAAAAAUAUUUAUUUCAAUUUCUUUAUUACAAUUUAUGAAUUAUAUAAUUAAUUAAAAUUUAAUAAAUAAUUAAUUUACCUCCCCAUUAAGGUAUCAAGGGUACCAUUCAGUUUUAAUAGGAAGCUUCAACUUUNNNNNNNNNNNNNNNNNNNNNNNNNNNNNNNNNNNNNNNNNNNNNNNNNNNNNNNNNNNNNNNNNNNNNNNNNNNNNNNNUUUUUAAAAUAACAGUUAUUCAUCAGCUUGUUGAGUGUUUCUUUUGGGUAUCCUAAAUUUAUUUUUAUUUAGGAUAAUUACAUUAAAUACUGCAUUCCUGGCGGUUAGUGUUUAGCUCUUCAAUGGUUGAUUGAUUAUAACAAUCUAAGGUAUAUUCGGCAAGAUUAUUUUAGUAGUUAUUAAUAGUUUUUCAUAAAAUGCUAAAAGCUAGACGUUCAGUGAGUUAAAGUUUUAUAAAAUACUACUUUAACCUUUAAAAAUUAGUUCAAACGUUAUGUUACCGAAUACUUUAAAAAUAACCGCGUUUAGCAUUUUAACUGAUCAAAACAUUAAAAUCUAUUUAAAAGGUUGUUGCCCAAAAAGUUUUAAGAUAUAAUCUAUGUAUCAUGGAAAUUAAAACGAAACAACGUAGAAACGCAGAAACAAACUGGAAAAUGAAAAAACGCCUAAUUAAUUUGGAGUUUCCAUACAUCAUAGAAUAUAAUAUUAUCUAAUAAAAAAAAGGUUUUAGUUAGGGGAUAUAAUAUGUUUUUUUUUCUUUUUCUUAUGAGACUUACCUAUAAACCAAGAUUCUUACUCCAUUUUCCAUGAACUCCUUGAGCAAGGGAAGAAUUGUUGAAGGGCUAUCUGUCCACCUAUCAAUAAUAUCACUACAUGGUUCCCAAUCAUGAUCAAGCUUAGUGACAUUGGCAUGCAAAGCUUCUUGCACAUCAGCCCUAUUGAAAUAAGCAUGCACAUAAUAGUCACUGCAUGGAUCAAAAUUAUCCAGCUGCAAAAUAAAACAAACCAAUUUUAGUUAUAUAUUUAUAAAAUCACCUUUCUGCAUCUAUAAAAAAAUUGUGUUAAUCAACUUACUGAAGCCUUCUUUGGGUGAGCUGUGAUAUUCUCAUCAAAGCACAAAGGAGCAUAAAUGUUAUAAAUGUCAAUAGCUUGAGAAUAUUUGUCAGCCUUCUCAGUAGCUGCUCUGCACUCUUUGGAUGGAUGGUUGAUAUACUUAGGUGAGAAAUUACAGUGUUUUUUUAUUUUUUGCAGUGUUUUUGGUGAAGAUAAAACAUGGGUUGUAAAGAAAGUAUACAUUCCUAGAGUAUCUGUUUCAUCAUUUAUCACUGCAUUUCCUAUCUGCAUUUUCACAGAUAUAAACAUACGGUUAGCUUCAAUUUCACUAAUUUAUAUGCACGAAAACUUCUAGCCAUGAACGUUUUAUGUUUGGGAAACGUUUCACUUUUCCAGUAUAAAAUACCAUUUUUCCAAGUAAAAUUAUGUUUUAUAGGUUAGAAAGGCACAUACUGCAAUUCCUUUGAGGUUGAUAAUGGUUUUGUUGGCCUUCCUGUUGUAGUAAAGGAUGGUAUGUGCAAGCUGACGAACAUAAUGGCCUGCAUAGCUUUCUCCAGAAAUGUAGAAAUCUCUUGCUUUAUAUUCAGGAAAUCUUUCAAGCCAAUUUACCAAAAACAAAUAAUUUUCUGUUGCUGUAUGUCUAUCGCCAGAAUUCUGAUAAUCUGAUGUUCUGUUAGAGUAUGAAAAGCCUACUCCAACAGGGGACUCCAGAAACAGAACAUUUGCAACUGAAAAAAAAAAAAANNNNNNNNNNNNNNNNNNNNNNNNNNNNNNNNNNNNNNNNNNNNNNNNNNNNNNNNNNNNNNNNNNNNNNNNNNNNNNNNNNNNNNNNNNNNNNNNNNNNNNNNNNNNNNNNNNNNNNNNNNNNNNNNNNNNNNNNNNNNNNNNNNNNNNNNNNNNNNNNNNNNNNNNNNNNNNNNNNNNNNNNNNNNNNNNNNNNNNNNNNNNNNNNNNNNNNNNNNNNNNNNNNNNNNNNNNNNNNNNNNNNNNNNNNNNNNNNNNNNNNNNNNNNNNNNNNNNNNNNNNNNNNNNNNNNNNNNNNNNNNNNNNNNNNNNNNNNNNNNNNNNNNNNNNNNNNNNNNNNNNNNNNNNNNNNNNNNNNNNNNNNNNNNNNNNNNNNNNNNNNNNNNNNNNNNNNNNNNNNNNNNNNNNNNNNUUUUCAGGAAAUAAAGAAAUUUAGAACACAAAAGGGAGAAAAAUAGAAAAAGAAUAUAUUAAAUACCUCCAUUUAGCCACAGAAGAAGAGGCAAAGAGUUCUUAGAACUUUCUUGAGCUUCAGCAAAAUAAUAAUAUAAGGCUUUUCCGGCUAAUUUAUCCACAGUAACAUAACCUCCAUAUUGUGAAAACUUAACUUGAGGUUGGCCAGGCAAUCUUUUGAUCCUAUCUUUUUCUUUAUCUUUUCCAUUUUCUUGAUUUAUAGUAAUAAUAGAAUCAAUUGUCCUAAAAUUGCUUGUGUCCAUACCAGAAUUCCCAUUAAGCUUGCAUUUGUAAAGAUUCCCAAGAACUUCACUUUGCCUCUUGCUAUGGCUCUGAGAUGUUAAAUAAGAAAAAAUGAAAAAGAAAGGGAAUAUCAAACAUGGGUUUUUCCCCAUUGCAGGAAAAGGAUUUAGGGUUUUUUGAUUUUUUGGAUUUUUGUUUCUUGAAUCCAAUUAUGUGUUUAUAUAAGUAUAGGGGUGUGUGUGUGUGCAAUGGAGAGAAAGUAUCUGUAGAAGGAUUUUGUUUUCUGAUUUCCUAAUUUAGAUCAACAUUAGUUAUUAUUCCCUCCAUCUUAUAAAAUUAUGUUUGUUUCUAUUUUCUCACAAACUAAUUAAAUGUAAUUAAUAUUUUUGAAUAAUAAAUUUGACCUAUGUUUCUCUUGAUAUACCCCCUAUUGUAAUAUUAGAUACCAUUUUCUUUUCUAGUAUAAUCAGGUAGUGUAAUUUUCAUCAGCCCCUGGGCAGUAGAUAAAAGUUUUUAAUUCUUCUUGUAAAUUGAGUUUUCAGAAAAUCGAACUUGUAUUAUCGCCCUUAUGGAGAUCGAGAUCAUUUACCGAUCCAAUCACAACCUUAUUGAUAAUUUUAGAAAUCACUUCAAAUAAAGAAUUAAGCGAGAAAAAUUUUAAUAAUAGGACUAUUAAAUAAGAGUAUAUAAAGAAAUUAGUUAUAUUUUCAAAAAAGAAAGUAACUAUAAUUUGAAACAAAUAAAAAAAAAAAAGGAAAGAAAACCUAUUUUCCAAAACGAGUCAUUGUCAAAAUAUACAGCUUUAUUUUCCAUAUAAGACGUUGGACUUUUAUUUUCCCUUGCUAUGACUUUGAUAUAUUAAAUAAUAAAAAUGAUAAAAAAAAUAAACUAGAACGAUUGUUUAAAAUUUUUAUUUUCAUCGGUUUGGUCUAUACAUAAAGGUUAUAGAUCUGAUUUAAGUAAGUUUCUACAGUUACGUAUAUAUGUGAUCAAGAGAGUGUUUUAAAAGAAUUUUAUUUUCUAAUUUCCUAAUUUAGUUGAUAUAUUAUUAAUUAAUUAUUAACCGUUUAAAUUUUAAAAACUACUUACCUACUACCGUACAUUCAUACACCAAACUAAUAAUUGAUUUCCUAAAUUUAUAUUCACUUACAGCUUAAUUUUUCCAUAUCAAACACUUGACUCAUUUGAACAAUGCAUUUACUCCUUUUUUUUUUAAUUCAAUCAAUAUUACAUAUAUUCAUCACUACUUGUACACCCAGAUUUUCAAGAAUCCAAAUCCAGAGAAUUUGCAAAUCAAAUAUUUAAUUCAAUGAUACCAAUUAAGAAAUAGAAGAAAAGAAUCACUUUUUAUACAUCUAGACACCCAAAUCCAGCACAAUUUGCAAAUUAAUAUUUAAAAGCGGUUUGGAAUAAAUGAGUUUCACAAAAUUUUGUGGAAUUUAUUUGGAAAUUUAAAAUUUUAUGUUUAGAAUGAAAAAAAAAUACAUUUUUGAAUUCCACGAAUUGAAUUCUAUGGAAUUGGAUAUGACAAAUUUAAAUUUACUAAAAUUGAUGGAGUUUGUAAAUGAAUUUCACAAAAUUGACCAUUAAAAUAUUUAUUGAUAAAAUUACCCUCCACUAUGAACUCAAUUAUUUUACCUUUUUUUUUUUCCUUUUUUGUAUACUUCUUUGGAAAAUUCCAAACUGUAAAAACAUUUUUUUAAUCCAAUAAUAACGUUAGGUUAUAUUUUUAUUUUUUUCCUUUUUUUUAAAAAUUCGAUCCUGUAAUGAUGUUUUUUUUUUUUAAAGUAUAGUAAUAAUGUUAGUUAUAAUUAUUAUGAAACUAUAAAAACAGAGUAUCAACAACAACAAUUGUUUUCAAAUGCAAUUAAAAAUAAUAGUAGCAUUUUUAAUAUUUUUUUAGUUUCCAAAUUAAUUUCUUAAAUCAACAAAAUUUUUUACAUCAAUUAAAAAUAAUUCUUAUGAUUAAUAUUACUGCUUAUACAAUUAAUUAAUUAGCAUGGAAUAUUGUACUUAUUUAUAUGAAAUUUAUUAUUUAUAUUUUAAUAAAAAAAUGACAAGUUAUUAUAUUGUACAUAAUAAAUAUAAUAGGUGUUUUUUAUUUAUUUUUGUUAAAUUGCUAUGUCAAUGGUGUUAUAAGAAAUAAAGACAAAUGAAUUUUUAUUUAAGAAUUUAUUCCAAACAUAAUUUUAUGAAAUUCAAUUGAAUUCCUUAUUUUAAAUUGUAGCAUACCAAACAUGAAAAAUUCAUUUCCAAAUGAAUUUUACUUGGAAUUCAUUUAUAAAUGAAUUCUACAAUCAUGAUUCAUUUGUUUCAAAUGGGCUAUUAGGCUCUAUUUUUUCUAUAAAAUAACUUAAAGGAAAAUAUUUUUCAUGAUUUUCCAUUGUUUGAGGCAUUUAGAAAAAUAAGUCAACGAAAAAUAUUUUACUCAUUUUUAAAGAAAUUGACUUUCCAAUUUUUAGAGAGAACAUUUCCAAAAUAUUGUCAAACCUAUGAUAACCUUAUAUAUCCAUAUUUUUUUAAUUUAUUAAUUAUUUAUAGUUAUUACCACCAGUUACCGUUCGCCACCAACUAUCGGCCACCACCAUUAGCUUUUAUAAUUUAUCUUUUUUGCAUUUUUCUCAUAUUUGAGAAUAAAAAUUUUUAAAAUUUCUAUUAUUUGGUCUUAUGAGUUAAAGAAUUUAAUAUUUUGAAUUAAUUUUCAAUAUUACAAUCAAACCAUGAAAAUAUAUCAUUUGAAAAAUUUAUUCAAUCAAAAGAUAAAUUAUUUUCAAAAAACAAACGUCUUAAUUCAAUGAUAUCAAGGAAGAACUACAAGAAAAGCAAAUGGAAGUUCUUGGUUUUGUCAUUAAGACCCUUUAAGUGAGUUUUACUCAUUUGCCUUUUCCAAAGAAAAAUAUUAUGUUAAAAAAUAUUUUUUUAGGGAAGUUUUUUUUUCCUUUUUAUAUGGUUUUAAUUGGGUUUUUUUUUUUUUUUUUUUUUUGGUGUUAUUUGUUUGUUUGUUUGUUAUAAGGUGGAAUAAUAUUGGAUAUGUAUUUUUUAUAUAUAUUUUAUCUUGUGCAAAUGUAGUUGUAAAUUAUUUAUAAUUUAAUAAUUAUUUAUUAAGUAUUCCCAUGAUAAUUCAAUCAAUUAUCAUAAUUCAAAAUGCAAAAAUUUAAAAAUUAUGAUAUCGGUUACAAUUUAUGAAUCUAAUAUAAUUGGAAGAGUACUUUCUAAAAUUGGCAGAUAAAGAUAUCUAAUAUUUGAAGAUAGUAACAAAUUGACAAAUUCUGAAAUUAAUUACAAUCCAAGAAAUAACAAAUAUUCUAAACCCUAAAAAAAUUAACUGCCAUCUCCUAAUUAAGGAAUGAUAAAUCAAAUUUAAAGCUAAUAUCUUUUAGUAUCAGGCAAAGGUGUGCCAUCGACAAAGUGUUUAAUUAGUGAAAGUGCUCUAAGAGGUUGAAAGCUUGGAACUUCAUGCCCUGCCCCUCUAACUGUAGCAAAUGUUAAAUCUCCCUUGUAAACUUGUGUAUAUCCUCCAACCUUCGAAAAAGAAAAAUACCCAAAAAGAAAAAAUUAUGCUACAUUUUUUGAAUACUUUUGAUAAAUACCAAAAAGAAAAAAUUGCUUAUACCUCUCCUUUGAGGUACCAAGGAUGCCAUUCAGUUUUGAUAGGAAGAUUCAACUUAUCAAUAGAAUAUAUAGUUGAAGUAAAGGGUACUCUUCCAUCUGUAUCCCCACUGCAUAACAACCAAUAAAAAUUUGCAUCAUUAAAUAAAGUGACCCAACUCGAACCCAUGAUAUUUGGGUCACGAAUUGAGUAAUUUUAUUAUGCUUUUGCAUAUGUCGAACCCUUGACCUUUCAGGUUAAAGUCAAGUAAUUUUUAUGUUUUUAUUAUGCUUUUGCAUAUGUCGAACUCUUGACUUUUCAGGUUAAAGUUUUUGCGCGUUUCGCAUCCAUAACCUUUAGGUGACGAGUCGAGUAACUUUAAUAUACUUUUCAACCCAUGAUCUCCAGGUCACAAGAUCAAUAAUUUUUUCUAUAUUUUUAUGUAUUUAGAAUCCAUGAUAUGAGUCAAGUAACUUACCUAUAUUUUCGCGUAUUUCGAACCUAUAACCUUCAAGUCAGAGUAAUUUUAUGAGUAAUUUUAUUAUACUUUUGCAUAUUUCGAACUCAUAACCUGCAGGUCAUGUAUCUCGAAUGCAUGACUUUCAGGUCACGAGUCACCGUUGCAUAUCUUGAAACCAUGACCUUCAAGUCAUGAGUCAAGUAACUUUAUUAUACUUUUACAUAUCUCCAUCUCAUAUCAUUCAGGUCACUGAUUCGAAUAACUUUAUCAUUACUCAAAAAGUACACACUUAGUAAUGAUUAACCAACUUACCUAUAUAUCCAGACACGAAGUCCAUUGGCCAUGAACUCUUGUAGAAGUGGAAGAACAGUAGCAGAGCUAUCUAACCAUUGGCUGAUGACGUCACUGCAGGGCUCCCAAUCAUGUUUAAGUUUUGUUACAUUAGCAUGCAUAGCUUCUUGCACUUCAGGUGUAUUCAAAUAUGCAUACACAUAAUAAUCACUGCAUGGAUCAAAAUUCUCCAACUGCAAUACAAAAUUAAUCAUACAAUUAUUACAUCAAACCUCUUUUUACAACAAAACAAUUAUUUUCCAUAGACCAAAAAAAAAAAUUACAAGCACUAAUAAUAAUUUACUUACUGAAGCAAUCUUGGGUUUGGCUGUGGUAGUUGGACUGAAGCAAAGAGGAGCAUAAAUGUUGUAUAUAUCAAGAUGAGAAAUGUCUCUUUCAAUUUGAUUAUUAGCUGAAAUGCAAGUAGCAGACUGACUUGUGGCAUUGGGGGAGAAGUCGCAAUGCUUCUUAAUAUUGUUGACAGCCUCAUUUGAAACUAGAGCAUGUCCAACAAAGUAGUCAUACAUUCCUAUAUUAUCAGUUUCAUCAUUAAUCACUGCAUUCCCAAUCUGCAAUUUUUUACAAGAACACAAUUAUUAAUUUCAAGAACAUAAUUAUAUAUGUAUCAAUGAUUACUUGGGAGAAAAAGAAACUUACUAAAAUACCCUUAAGGUUGAUAAUAGUUUUUUUGGCCUUUUUGUUAUUGUAAAGAAUAGUAUGUGCAAGUUGUGGAACAUAAUGCCCUGCAUAGCUCUCUCCAGAAAUGUAGAAAUCUCUAUCUUUGUAUUCAGGAAAUCUCUUCAGCCAAUUUACCAAGAAUAUAUAAUUAUCCUCUGCUGUUUUUUUGUCUCCAUUGUUAUCAUAAUCCGAUGUCCUAUUAGAGUAUGAAAAACCAACUCCAGCAGGCGAUUCAAGAAACAAAACAUUUGCAGCUGAAAAACAAAAGGGAAAAUCAAGAUCUUACAUUAUACUAAGGUCCUGUUCCGCAAAAUUAGAUAUUUUUCUACAAAUAUUUACAUUUAUUUAUUGAGAAGAAUGUUAUGUACCAUAAUUCCAUGAGUAUCUAUUUUUGUAAAGAGUUUUGCCAUCACUGUGUACACGAAAUGGUCCAAGUUCUUGCAUAGCGCCAUAAGCCAAAGAGAAGCAACCAGGGCCAGUAAAAAUAAAAAAAUAAAUAAAAUAAAUAAAUCUUUGGAAUUGGUUAUACGGUUCUUUUUUUUUCAAAUACUUAGACCGGAUCCAAACCAACGAGACUAAAGAUUCUUAUUGAAACGAAGGUAUUUCUAACCAUACAUUUUCUAAAAAUCAUUAGUUUCAUUGGUUUAGUCCAUAAGCAAAUCCAUGAACCCGGGUUAAGCAAGAUUUUUCCCUGUGAUCAAAUAUAUUAAACAUAUAAAAUUUAUUAACAUCACCAUCAAACUAAAACAAGAUGACAAAUACAUUAUAUCAUCAAAGAUCAAAUCAAAUGUUCUUAUGUCCCUUUAAUGUAUGAGUUCAAUGGAAUACGUUAAUGCUUAAUGACUAUAGAUUAUAGUAAUCCCAACCACCAUUAGUUUAAUUAAAUUAAAUCUUGCAUAGGAGUGAAGCAUGGGAUUGGAACCCAAGAUUGGGUGGCAACAUUCCAAUUGGCCAUGUUUUUUUUAUUUUUCUUCUUAUUAUUAUUAUUAUUAUUUUAAGGAAAGGAAAGAGGGGCGUUAAUACUUUUUUGCUAGAUGAUUCAUCAUAUAAUAUUCAUUGUAAAAAGAAAAUUAAACAAAAAUUACUUUUGUAACUAACCAAAAAUUUAUAAUUACAAUGUGAUUAUAAUUUUCUACUAAUAAUUAGCUAUAGCCUAAGUAGAAAAGAAAUUGACAAACAAAAGUGUGGCCUAGUGAGUACAAUUAUUGCAUGCAAUAAUUAUCUUUUUUUUUUUUUUUUUUUUUUUUUUUGGAAAACUGCCAGAAAUAAUGAUUAUUAACCGUUUAAAUUUAAAAACUAUUUACCAAUAAUUAUCUACCGUACGGUCGAACACCAAACCAAUAAUUGAUUUCCUAAAUUUAUAUUCACUUACAGCUUAACUUUUCCAUACGAGGCCUUGACUCGUUUGGCCAAUGCAUUUACCCCUCUAUUUUAUUUUUUUUCAAUCAAUAUUAUUUUUAAAAAUCCAAAUCACUUAUUAAUAUUUAGGCUUUGGUUGUUUCCAUAAGAUAACUUUCAAGAAAAUAUUUUUCAUAAUUUCCCAUUAUUUGAGGCAUUCAGAAAAACAAAUCAACGGACAAUAUUUUAAUCAUUUUUAAGGAAAAUGACUUUCCAAUUUCAAGAGAGAAAAAUAUUUUUUGGACAUUGACAAACUUAUGAUAACAUUAUACAUUUAUAUUUUUUAAAUUUAUUAGACAUUUAUAGCAACUGCCACCAGUCACCGUGUACCACCAACUAUCACUACCGGCCACCCUCGGCCACUAUCAUCGGCUUUCAUAAUUUACCAUUUUUUACAUUUUCCUCAUAUUUAACAAAUAAAAUUUUAAAAUAUGAAAAUUUUAUUGUUGUUAAUAUUUUUAUGAUCUUAUGAAUUAAAAAUUUUAAUAUUUUUAAUUAUUGAAACUAAACAAGAAAAAUAAGUCAUUUGAAAAAUAUUAUUUAAUCCAAAGAUAAUUUCCAGAAACAAACGCAUGCAACUCAAUAUCAGGGAAGGAAUACAACAAAAGCAAGUGAAAGUUUAUGGUUUUGUCAUUAAGACCCUUUAAGUGAGUUUUACUCAUUUACCUUUUCCCAGAGAAAAAUAUUAUGUUAUGGAAACUUUAUUUUCCUCUUUAUAUGGUGUUGUUCAUUUCAUUACAGCAAUUAUCAAUAAGAUAAUGUUUAACAAUUUUGAGAAUAAUAUGGUUAACUAUACUUACCUAUAUAUAUAUAUAUAUAUAUAUAUAUAUAUAUUACUUUUAUAUAAUCUCUUGAAAAAGGCCCACAUUAAAAAAAUUAAGUGUAAAAAAAAAAAAAAAGAAACUUUGAGCCGUUUGUGUAAAAAAAAAAAAAAUAUAUAUUUCUUUUUCAUAAUUAAGUGUAAAAAAAAGAUAUAUAUAUAUAUAUAUAUAUAUAUUUCUUUUUAGUAUCCUAAAAUUAUAUCCAUUUUAGGAUGAUUACAUUAAAUAUUGCGUUUCUAGCCGUUAGUGUUUAGCUCUUCAAUCGUUAAUUGAUUGUAAUAAUCUGAGUAAGCGUUGAGAUAUAAUCUGCAUUGUAUGGAAAUGGAAAUAAAAGAAUGUAGAAACACGGAAACGAAACGAAAAAUCAUAUUUAAAAUAUAAUUGUACAUGGAAAAAUGAUAUUUUAUAUGGGAAAACAGACGUGUAGAAAUGUUUUCGAAAUGCGAAAACAAAAUAACAAAACGACAUUUAAAAUGUUACAUGAAAAAAUAAUAUUUUAUACGGAAAACAAAGACAUUUUAAAUGUUUUCGAAACACGAAAAUCCUGUAACUAGGAGUUUUCUUGCAUCGUAGUAUGUGCAAGUUGAGGCACAUAAUGGCCUUCAGAUCAGAAUCAGAAAGAAAGAAAAUAGAGAAAGAGAAAGUAAAUAUUUAUUAUUUACAAUAGCUGAGUUGUCCAUUUCAAUUAUUGAUUUAUGCUUUGGGUGAGUAUCUAUUAAUCAGAUUGCAUAAUAUAAUUUUUAGUAUAUUGAUUCUCUUAAAUGGAAAAUGAAAUUUUAAAUCCGAUAUCUCUAUAUUCUAUGUUAUAAAAUAAAAACGGGAUGUUGCUAAAUAUAUAUUUAAAAUGGAUACAAUAUGUUAUUCAGUAUCUAUUAUAAACUUAAUGAGAAAAACAAUAUGUAUACUGUAUUUAUUUCAAAAUAUAAAUGCUUUGUAAGUGAUUGUUUUCUCCCAAAUCUUCGGAGCUGAAAUUAUUUAUCUGUGCUGUGGCAUGGGAUAGCUGCUGAUUUGUGCAACAGAUUCAAUGAACAUAAGGACAGAUCAUAACAUAUAUACGCUCCAUAAUAAUAUUGAAUUUGGAUUUUCUAUCAAGUUACCAAUACCCCUAAAUGACAUAUAAUGUAAUGAAUUUGACUUUUUGGUUUUAACUAAAUUUGGAAGCUUAACUAUUACCUUGACACCUUAUAAAUUAAUCCUACCUCUGUUUCAUAAUAUUUCUCGAAAAAAUAAUUUAUUUUAAAAUAUUUGUCGAAUUUACAGUUUCAAGAGUAAUAAUUUUUUUUCAUGUUUACCCUUUGUACAUGACAAAUAAUUAUUGCUUCAAUUUUUUUUAAAAAAAAUUUCUGUUUAUUUACUUUUAUCUCUGAUUGGACAAAUAUGAGAAUUGAAGAGUCUAAAAUUUAAUUUGAUGUUUAGAUAUAUUAAAUUAAAGGUAAUAUAGUUAAUUUAUUCAAUAAUUUAUUGUAAUCUAGACAAAUUUAAUGGUUUCUUAAAGGACGUGAAAUUUUAAAUGUGACAAGUAUUAUGAAACAGAGGUAGUACUCUCUCCGUUUUCAAAUAAUUGUCACAUUUAAGAAUUCACAUUUUUUUUUUUUUUUUAAAUCAUUCAAUUGGACCUGAAAAUUUUAAGACUUGGAUCAACACAAAUGGUUGGACCCAGUUUACAAUACCUAUCUUAGCCCAAGUGAAUACAAAGCAUUGGGUUGCCCCUCAGGCAAUGGUAAUCACAAGCUUACACCAUUUUGUGAAUUAGUCCCAAGCCUGAUAAUCAUACACAUAUUACUGUGAUUGAUAAUUAAGCAAUCAAUUUAAGAAUUAAGUUCUAAAUGUUCAAAUUUUUACAUUAGUUAAACUGUUUAAGAAGUAAACACUCAACAACCUAGUUCUUUAAUGUUGAAUUGUGUUUUCAAAUACCACAUUGGUGAAUAAUUAUUAGUUGACUAUGAGCUAGACUUAAGGGCCUAUUUGGCAAAAUGCUGUUUUAGGUAUUUCGAUAGCUAUUAACAGUUUUAGUAGCAUUUAGCUGUUCGAGUAACUUUUCAUAAAAUGCCAAAAGCUAAACUUAUGAUAUUUCAAGAGAGAAAAAUAUUUUCUAGAUAUUGACAAACUUAUGAUAACUUUAUAUAUUCAUAUUUUUUUUAAUUUAUUAGUCAUUUACAGUCGGCUUUCAUAAUUUAUCAUUUUUUACAUUUUCCUCAUAUUUAACAAUAAAUUUUUUAAAAUACGAAAUUUUUAUUGUUAUUAAUAUUUUUAUGUUCUUAUGAGUUAAAGAUUUUAAUAUUUUUAAUUAUUGCAACUAAACAAGAAAAAUAAAUCAUUUGAAAAAUAUUAUUUAAUCCAAUAAUUCAAUAUCAAGGAAGGAAUACAAGAAAAGCAAGUGAAGUUUAUGGUUAACUAUACUUACCUAUAUAUAUAUUUAUAUUACUUUUAUAAUCUCUUGAAAAAGGCACCCAUUAAAAAAAUUAAGGGUAAAAAAAAAAAAAAAAGAAACUUUGAGUGUUUCUUUUCAGUAUCCUAAAAUUAUUUCCAUUUUAGGAUGAUUACAUUAAAUAUUGCGUUUCUAGCGGUUAGUGUUUAGCUCUUCAAUCGUUAAUUGAUUGUAAUAAACUGAGUAAGCGUUGAAAUAUAAUUUGCGUUGUAUGGAAAUGGAAAUGAAAGAAUGUCAAAAUGCGGAAAUGAAACGAAAAACCAUAUUUAAAAUAUAACUUUAAAUAAAGAUUCAUUUGGAAUUUCAUGUUUUAAAUUCUGAUUUGGUUUUUCCUGAACCAAACGCUACCAAAAUUAGUAGAAUUUGCAAAUGAAUUCUCAACUUUAAAGGAACAGAAGUUACUAAAGCUACUGAAUAUUUAAGUACAAAAUAUCAGAACACAUAUUUGGAAUGAAUUCUACGAUUGAUCCAAGCAUGAAUUUCCAUUUAUCAAUGAAUUCUUUAAUGAAAUUCAUUUGCAAAUUGAAUGAAUUCCAUAUGAAUAUUAUUCCAAACACUAUGUAACUGAAAGAGCAUAUAGCGAUCCAUAUAGAAUCUGCUUUAAUAUAAAGAUUGCCUCCUAUGAACCGCUAACUCCUCAAAGCACAUGUUUAAAGUCUUCUCUGAACCGCUACUUAUAUUUGAAAUUCCUACACAAUUAUCCUUCUGCUGCUUCAAAUAAAGCGCUUCAAGUAAUCUGGGUUUUUUUCAGUGGGCUGGACGAUGGAUUUUUCAAAGGCCCAAACUUACAUUAUUAGACUAAUGUCAGUCAUAAGUGAUUAUUUUCUAAUUGCCGAUAAUUAAUUAGGAUAAUUCUUUCUUUCUUUCUUUCUUUCUUGCUUAUGAAAGUAACCAGAGAAUUGGAAGAAGAAAAGACAUUUAUUUGCAUUGUACAACAAGAGUCAAAGUAAAUGUCCUUUUUGACCAAGUCCAAUCCUGCAGCUUCCAUGUAAUUCUUGAAGAUUAUUACCUGUUUUUGUUUUUACAUAACUCUUCUUGGCCUCUUUAGCUUUUCAGUUUCAAUCACCAACCAAUUUUUUUGUUUGGUAUUGCAUCUUCCUUCCUUUUGAGUCUUUGAUUACUGCAACUCCACUUUCAAUCACCAACCAAGUGUUCAACUGCUCGAAUUUUCUGCUGAAAAUUUUGGUCAUCCUCUCUUUGUAAUGGAAAUUGCAGCUGCUAUUGGAGGUGCUCUUCUAGCGCCUGCCUUUGAGUCUUUGUUUAAUAAGUUGGCUUCCAAGGAUUUGCUCAAUUAUGCCCGUAAAAAGCAUGUGCUGACUGAAAUCAACAAGUGGAAGGACAUGUUGGAGAGCAUUUAUGGGGUUCUUGAGGAUGCAGAGGAGAAGCAGAAGCUGAGCAAGCCGGUGAAGAUGUGGGUAAGCCAGUUGAGGAACCUGGCGUAUGAUUUGGAGGACAUUCUGGAUGAGUUUGAUUUUGAGGCUCGUCGAUCCAAGUUGAAAGCUGAACCUGUGGCUGGUUCAAGUAUGGUACGAAAGCUCUUCCCUAAUCUUCGUGCUGUUAAAUUCAGUAAAGAGAUGAUUUCCAAGAUAAAGGGGAUUAGUUCCCGAUUAGAAGAGAUCACCUCACGAAGAAAUCAACUAGAUUUGANNNNNNNNNNNNNNNNNNNNNNNNNNNNNNNNNNNNNNNNNNNNNNNNNNNNNNNNNNNNNNNNNNNNNNNNNNNNNNNNNNNNNNNNNNNNNNNNNNNNNNNNNNNNNNNNNNNNNNNNNNNNNNNNNNNNNNNNNNNNNNNNNNNNNNNNNNNNNNNNNNNNNNNNNNNNNNNNNNNNNNNNNNNNNNNNNNNNNNNNUGGAAAGAAGUUUGAUUUGACGGCUUGGGUUUCUGUCGGUGAAGAUUUUGACGUGGUUAGACUUACAAAAACAGUUCUUCAGUGGGUUGGUGGAGAUCUUACUUCCAACGAUUUGACUUCGCUUCAAUUAAACUUGAAGGCAAAGCUGUCAGAGAAGAAGUUUUUUAUGGUUCUAGAUGAUGUUUGGAACAGGAAUUAUGAGCAUUGGACAAUCUUUCUUCUCCCGUUUGAGAAUGGGGCAAAAGAAAGUAGAAUUAUCGUCACAACUCGCAAUCUUGCCGUUUCACAGAGGAUGGGUGCUCUUCAAAGUUAUACACUUGGAGUGUUGGAGAAUGAUGAUUGCCUGUCUGUGUUUGCCCAUCAUGCUCUUGGAGUAACAAAUUUUGAGGAGCACUUGGAUCUAGAAGCAAUAGGUAAGAAGAUUGUGGAAAGGUGUCAAGGCUUACCUUUGGCAGCUAAAGCUAUUGGAGGUCUCUUACGAGGUCAACCAACUCGCGAUGCAUGGGAACAAGUGCUAAACAGCGGCAUUUGGGAGGAGAAAGCCGACAUUCUUCCAGCAUUAAAGUUGAGCUAUCACCAUCUUCCACCUCAUCUGAAACGAUGUUUUGCUUAUUGUGCAAUUUUUCCAAAAGAUUACGAAUUCGAUGAGGAUGAGUUGGUUCUACAGUGGAUGGCAGAGGGAUUUCUACAGCACGCGCAGGAAAUGAAGCAAAUGAAACGCUGGGGUCAUCGAUAUUUCCAUGAUUUAGUAUUGAGAUCCUUUUUUCAACAAUCUACUGGCAAUAAAUCCCGAUAUGUGAUGCAUGACCUACUCAAUGAUCUAGCUAAAUCUGUAAGUGGAGAAAUAUGCCUCCAUUUGGAUGAUGAUGAGUUGAAGGGCAUAAAAUCACAUGCAAACGUUCGCCAUUCAGCAUUCACUGUGAGUAUGACAAGUACCAAAGAUUUGAAGACUUUUAUGAGAUGAGUAAUCUGCGAACAUUCUUGGCAUUAUCCACAGAUCGAUGGCGAGAGAAUUUUUUAUCUAUUAGAGUGGUGCAUGACCUAGUGCCAAAACUGAAACGUCUAAGGGUGCUAUCACUAGCUCGAUACACGUUUGAAGAGUUGCCAAGUUCAAUUGGCGCCUUAAAGCAUUUACGAUAUCUUGACUUGUCUUAUAACACUGGGCGUAUAAGAUUACCUAAUUCACUGAGUAAUCUUCAAAACUUGCAGACACUGAAGUUAUUUAAGUGUGGGAAUCUUAUUGAGUUGCCCACAAGCAUUGGCGCUUUGAUCAAUUUGGUGCACCUCGAUCUUAAAGAUACGUAUGAUUUGCAGGAGAUGCCAUUGGGGGUAGCAAAUUUGACAAAUCUUCAAACAUUGUCUAAGUUUAUCGUGGGAGAAGGAACUAAUUGCCUUGGAAUUAGAGAGCUAAUGAACCUCCAUCAUCUAGAAGGACCACGUCGUAUUGAAAAGCUACAGAAUGUGGCAAGGAUUGAAGAUGCAAAUCUCGUUGAUUUAAAGAAUAUUGAGAAUCUUGGUGAUUUGGCCUUGGUAUGGACCGAUAAAUUGCGUGAUUCACCAUGCGAAGAGGAUCGUGAAUUCCAGGUUCUCAACUUGCUAGAACCUCAUCAAAAGUUGGAAAGGCUUUCGGUUCGAUUUUAUGGCGGUAAGCAAUUUCCAUUGUGGAUAGGAAAUCCUGCAUUCACAAAUAUGGUGGAUCUAGAGCUUUGGGAUUGGCGGAAUAUUACCUCGCUGCCACCACUAGGUAGACUAUGUAAACUGAAAAAGCUGAGUAUCAGAGACAUGGAUGAACUGCUAGAAGUAAGGCUUGAGCUUUCCCCGUCUCUUGAGAUUCUAAAAAUUGGGAAUAUGUUGAAGUUGAAGCAAUGGGCUCACUCUGGUGACGUCAACGUGGAGGUUACAAGAAAAUUUCCUAGACUACGUGAAAUUAGGAUAAGAAAUUGUCCUAAAUGGGUUGUGACAUUGCCUACCUCCCUUCAUUCCCUUGAGGAAUUGUACAUUGAUGGAUGUCAAGAUAUUAUUCUCGAAAGUGUGCAUGAUCUAUGUUCCCUCCAAACCUUGCACAUUUCGAGUAUUUCAGCACUUGAAAACUUACAUCAAGUGGUUACGCAGUCCUUGGUGGCGCUAGAAUAUCUGUCCAUUGGUAAUUGCAGCCAAUUGAUACACCUGUGGCAGGGUUCAGCUAAUUUAGACAAACUUUCUAGCUUGAAAUCUUUAUGGAUCCAUGAGUGUGAGAAGCUAGUGUCGUUGGUAGGAGGAGAGGAAGGGAAUUUGCCAUGCAAUCUUGAAUAUUUGGGGAUAUGGGAAUGCGAUGGAUUUGAGAUUCUGCCAAAUGGGUUGCAAACCCUCACAUCUCUUAGAGAGCUGGAUAUCAAUCGGUGCCGAAACCUUGUGUCCUUCCCAUCUGCAGGUUUACCUUGUAGUCUUAAAAGUCUCGAAAUCGAAUAUUGUCCUUCUCUGGAGUCCUUGCCGAAGGGCAUUGUGCAUGAUAGUAACGCCAGGAAUGAGAUGUCUCAUCUUGAGGUUGUGCGUGUCAAAAAAUGUCCAUCUCUUACAUCGCUUCCAAUCGGUGAAUUUCCCUAUUCAAUUUAACAAAUUGAUAUUUGCUUUUGGACGACACAACUUUUGGAUUCAUUUCGUAAUAGGUUCUCGCAUCUCACCACAUUAACAAUAUAUGGCUCUGAGUUGGAGUGUUUCCCAGAAAGUGGAUUGGCCAUCCCCAACCUUAGCCUUUUAAUCAUAGAACACUGUGAAAAUUUGAGGUUGCUUCCCAAUCAAAUGCAAAAUCUUACAUCUCUUAAUUAUUUAGAGAUAAAUAAUUGUGGAGGUCUUGUGUCCUUUCCAGAUGAGGUUUUACCCCCAAACCUUACUUCUUUAUACAUACGGAGUUGUGAGAAUUUGAGAUUUCUUCCCACUCAAAUGCAAAAUCUCACAUCUCUUCAAAGUUUAGAAAUAGUUGACUGUUUAGGUCUGGUGUCCUUUCCAGAUGGCGGUUUACCCCCAAAACUAGGUCGUCUUCAAAUUUUAAAUUGCAAGAAUCUGAAACAGCCAAUGUCAGAGUGGAGACUCAAAAGACUCGCCUCUCUCACCCGUCUCACAAUCGCAGGGCCAUGUCCAAAUACAGAUAUGGAUUCCUUCCCAGAUGAGAAGGGCCUACUGCUUCCCUCUUCCCUAACCUUUCUUGGGAUCGAAGAUUUUAAAAAUCUGAAAUCAAUAUCCAGAGGCAUUCACCAUCUCACCUCUCUUGAUGCAUUAGGAAUUCGAAAUUGCCCUAAGCUCCAGUCCUUUCCCAAGGAGGGCCUUCCGACCACACUUGAAAUAUUGAUUAUCGACAGGUGUCCCCUUCUGGAAAGACGAUGCAGAAAAGGGAAAGGAGACUAUUGGCGCUUUAUUGCCAAUAUCCCCCGUUUCACAACUGAAUAGAGAAUAGAGAAUGAAGGGAGUCCUCACAUACAACGAGGUAUUCAUCUUUUUACUUUUGCUUGCAGCUAAAACUAUAACUGAUAUAUGCAAUAUUUUUAAGCCAAAAUAGAAUAGAUAUAAAAAAAUGAAUUGCAUUCAAUUAUGUGGUGUUUCAAGUUUCAACCAUAUUACCCCAUUCUGUUCUGACUCUGAUAUGAGCUGAUUUUAUACAUAUCAAAUCUUGGCUGCAAAUAAUGCAAUUGUUUCUUCAGGUCUGCAAAAGCCUGGACUGCUUAGCCCAGGACUCGAGAUUGUCAUAAUCGUCUCAAAUCCAAUCCCUGCUGGUAAGGGUAAUUGUCAUAAUUUUAUAAAGACUGCUAUUAGUUAAGCUUGCAAAGUUUGGAUGUUUUAUUGAUGUUUUAUUUUCAGAUGUUUUAUUUUCACUUAGCAUUUCUAAUCCUAGGAGGGGUGUAUGGGGGAGGCCUGUUGGUCGGGUUUAGAUGGAUUAGUUAUGUUAAGUUUUUCCUGGAUGAUGUUUGUAAUAAUAAAUUUAAUUUUCAAAAAAAAAAAAAAAAAAAAAAAAAAAAAAAAAGAGAGUACAAUCCUGUUUCUGCUACAUAUGACUACAAUGAGCAGUUGUUACCAAUUUAUCAGACAAGAAUUCUGUUUCCUAUGUUGAGAUACUUAUAUGAGCAUAUUUGUUUAUUUAUUGACAGAUUUAAGGCUCUGGAAGUAUUAUUUAAAGUGAAGAAGUUUUACAGACAUUGGUUGAGAAUUUUUCAGAUGGAAAUUAUCUUUUUUUUUUUUUAUUUUUUUAUUUUUAUAAAUGGAAUAGGGUCCGUUCUUCCUACAAAACAUCCGGUCAAGAGUCAGGUGAUCUCGAACUACUUGCUAUUCAUGCAAACGACAGGUCGUCUGCACCAAGAUGCAAAUGACUUGCAUUUGCGAGUGAAUUUGAGUUUUUAUAAGUAACUAUACUGGCAAUGUGGCUUUAUGGAGCAAAAUCUGAUUCUGAAUGAAAAAAAUUACAUCAAAAGAAUCUAUAUGCUUCAAAAUCUAAUAAUAAUUUAUUUUCUUUUCUUUUGCUUUGUGGAGGGAAAUUUGAACCAUGAUUUAUAGUCAGGUUGUAUAUCCAUUUACCAUCACUCUAUUACGGCUUAUUGCGCAUAAAUUCAAUAAAAUUAAGCCUAAUAAUUUGUCUAUUGUUUAUAACAAAUUAACACAAUAAAAUUCUAAUAAAUAUAAUAAAAUUGAGGUACAUAGAUUAUGAAAUUUUUGGAAGAGGUUUGCCAAGAAGAAAGUGGUGAAUAAGUGAGAGUGCUCUUGCAGGCUGGAAGGCAGGCACUUCAUGUCCAGCCCCUCUCACAGUAGCAAAAGUAAGGUCUCCUUUAUAAAUCUCAGUAUACCCACCAACCUGAAACACAAUCAUUCAUCCACAAAACAUUUAUUUCAAUUUCUUUAUUACAAUUUACAAUUUAUAAAUUAUAUAAUUAAUUAAAUUUUAAUAAAUAAUUAAUUUACCUCCCCAUUAAGGUACCAAGGGUACCAUUCAGUUUUAAUAGGAAGCUUCAACUUUGCGAGUGAGUAUUGAGUAGAAGUAACAGGUACUCUUCCAUCCGUAUCACCACUGCAUGGUAAAAUGUUAAAAUGGUAAAAUGUUUUUAAAAUAACAGUUAUUCAUCAGCUUGUUGAGCGUUUCUUUUUGGUAUCCUAAAUUUAUUUUUAUUUAGGAUAAUUACAUUAAAUACUGCAUUCCUGACUGUUAGUGCUUAGCUCUUCAAUUGUUGAUUGAUUAUAACAAUCUAAGGUCUAUUCGACAAGAUUAGUUAUUUUAGUUUUUCAAAAAAUGCUAAAAGCUAGACGUUCAGUGAGUUAAAUUUUUAUAAAACGCUACUUUAACAUGUAAAAAUUAAUUCAAACGUUAUGUUACCGAAUUCUAAAAAAAUAAUAGCAUUUAGCAUUUUAAUUGAUCAAAACACUAAAAUCUAUUUUAAAAAUUGUUGCCUAAAAGUUUUAAGAUAUAAUCUAUGUUUCAUGGAAAUUAAAACGAAAUAGCGUAGAAACACAGAAACAAAGAAAUGCGAAAAGCUUAUAAUUUGGAGUUUUCAUACUUCAUAAAAUAUAAUAUUAUCUAAUAAAAAAAUGUUUUAAUUAGGUGAUAUAAUAUAUAUAUAUAUUUUUUUUUUCUUAUGAGACUGACCUAUAAACCAAGAUUCUUACUCCAUUUUCCAUGAACUCCUUGAGCAAGGGAAGAAUUGUUGAAGGGCUAUCUGUCCACCUAUCAAUAAUAUCACUACAUGGUUCCCAAUCAUGAUCAAGCUUAGUGACAUUGGCAUGCAAAGCUUCUUGCACAUCAGCCCUAUUGAAAUAAGCAUGCACAUAAUAGUCACUGCAUGGAUCAAAAUUAUCCAGCUGCAAAAUAAAACAAACCAAUUUUAGUUAUAUAUUUAUAAAAUCACCUUUCUGCAUCUAUAAAAAAAUUGUGUUAAUCAACUUACUGAAGCCUUCUUGGGGUGAGCUGUGAUAUUCUCAUCAAAGCACAAAGGAGCAUAAAUGUUAUAAAUGUCAACAGCUUGAGAAUAUUUGUCAGCCUUCUCAGUAGCUGCUCUGCACUCUUUGGAUGGAUGGUUGAUAUACUUAGGUGAGAAAUUACAGUGUUUUUUUAUUUUUUGCAGUGUUUUUGGUGAAGAUAAAACAUGGGUUGUAAAGAAAGUAUACAUUCCUAGAGUAUCUGUUUCAUCAUUUAUCACUGCAUUUCCAAUCUGCAUUUUCACAGAUAUAAACAUACGGUUAGCUUCAAUUUCAAUAAUUUAUAUGCACGGAAACUUCUAGCCAUGAAUGUUUUAUGUUUCGGAAACGUUUCCACUUUUCUAGUAUAAAAUACCGUUUUUCCAAGUAAAAUUAUGUUUUAUAUGUUAGAAAGGCACAUACUGCAAUUCCUUUGAGGUUGAUAAUGGUUUUGUUGGCCUUCUUGUUGUAGUAAAGGAUGGUAUGUGCAAGCUGAGGAACAUAAUGGCCUGCAUAGCUUUCUCCAGAAAUGUAGAAAUCUCUUCCUUUAUAUUCUGGAAAUCUUUGAAGCCAAUUUACCAAAAUCAAAUAAUUUUCUGUUGCUGUAUAUCUAUCGCCAGAAUUCUCAUAAUCUGAUGUCCUGUUUGAGUAUGAAAAGCCUACUCCAACAGGAGACUCCAGAAACGGAACAUUUGCAACUGAAAAAAAAAAAAAGAAAAAUUAAAAANNNNNNNNNNNNNNNNNNNNNNNNNNNNNNNNNNNNNNNNNNNNNNNNNNNNNNNNNNNNNNNNNNNNNNNNNNNNNNNNNNNNNNNNNNNNNNNNNNNNNUUCAUUAUUUUUUAUAAAUAUUAUUAUUAUUACAAACAGAUAGUCCAGUUCUUUAAGUUAUUUCAAAAGUAAAAUAAUUAAGGAAUUACCAUUAUUCCAUGAAAAUCUGUUCUUGUUCUUGUAAAGUGUUUUGCCAUCACUGUAUACUCGAAAUGGUCCAAGCUCUUGCAUCAACCCAUAAGCCAAAGAUGAACAACCAGGCCCUGUAAAAAUAUUAAUCAGCAACAGACAGUAAUAUUAUACAUUUAAAUUGAAAAUUUAACAUAAUAAUAAUAACAAUAAAAAGAAUACUAUUUUCAGGAAAUAAAUAAAUUUAGAACACAAAAGGGAGAAAAAGGGAAAAAGAAUAUAUUAAAUACCUCCAUUUAGCCACAGAAGAAGAGGCAAAGAGUUCUUAGAACUUUCUUGAGCUUCGGCAAAAUAAUAAUAUAAGGCUUUUCCAGCUAACUUAUCCACAGUAACAUAACCUCCAUAUUGUGAAAACUUAACUUGAGGUUGGCCAGGCAAUCUUUUGAUCCUAUCUUUUUCUUUAUCUUUUCCAUUUUCUUGAUUUAUAGUAAUAAUAGAAUCAAUUGUCCUAAAAUUGCUUGUGUCCAUACCAGAAUUCCCAUUAAGCUUGGAUUUGUAAAGAUUCCCAAGAACUUCACUUUGCCUCUUGCUAUGGCUCUGAGAUGUUAAAUAAGAAAAAAUGAAAAAGAAAAGGAAUAUCAAACAUGGGUUUUUCCCCAUUGCAGGAAAAGGUUUUACGGUUUUUAAUUUUUUGGAUUUUUGUUUCUUGAAUCCAAAUUAUGUGUUUAUAUAAGUAUAGGGAUGUGUGUGUGUGCGCGCAAUGGAGAGAGAGUAUCUAUAGAAGGAUUUUGUUUUCUGAUUUCCUAAUUUAGAUCAAUAUUAGUUAUUAUUCCCUCCAUCUUAUAAAAUUAUGCUUGUUUCUAUUUUCUCACAAACUAAUUAAAUGUAAUUAAUAUUUUUGAAUAAUAAAUUUGACCUAUAUUUCUCUUGAUAUACCCCCUAUUGUAAUAUUAGAUAUCAUUUUCUUGAUAUACUCCCAGGUAGUAGAGGGUAAAAGUUUUUAAUUCUCCUCACAAAUUGAGUUUUCAGAGAAUCGAACUUGUAUUAUCGCCUUAUGAAGAUUGAGAUUAUUUACCGAUCCAAUCAACACCUUAAUUAUUGCUAAUUUUAGAAAUCACUUUAAAUAAAAAAUUAAGUGAGAAAAAUUUUAAUAAGAGAAAUAUUAAAUAAGAGUAUAUAGAGAAAACCUAUUUUCCAGAAUGAGUCAUUGUCAAAAUAUACAGCUUUAUUUUCCAUAUAAGACAUUGGACUUUUUAUUUUGCCUCGCUAUGGCUUUGCAUAUCUCGAACCCAUGACCUUCAGGUCACUGAGUCAUUCUUGCAUAUAGGGGUGGCCACGGUUCCGGAACCGGCAGUUCCGGUUCCGGAAAAACUGGAAUCGGAACCGAACCGAAAAGGUCCGGUUCUGGUUCCGGUUCCGGUUUGGAACCGUCCGGUUCCGAUUCCGAUUCGGUGACAAAACCGACGGUUCCGAUCAGUUUUCCGGCGAAUCGCAUAAUUUUAAAUUUUAAAUUUUGAAGACCGGUUUAAAAAAAUAUAUAUUUGAACAUAAAAAAUUAAAAAAUACACCUAAAAAAUUAAAAAAUACUUCAAUUAAAUUUAUUUUUUUAAAGACUUGAACAUAAUUAUUUUUUUAAAAAAAANNNNNNNNNNNNNNNNNNNNNNNNNNNNNNNNNNNNNNNNNNNNNNNNNNNNNNNNNNNNNNNNNNNAAAAAAAAAAGACUUGAACUUAAUUUUUUUUUUAAAAAAAAAUUAAGUUGCCUACGUAUCCUCUUGGGGUUUAGAGGAAUCAAAGCCUACGUAGUUCUUACUUACCUUAUACCAAUUUCACCUCUUAUACCUUAAUUACUAUUUGCACCACCGGUUGAUGUUCCCAUUGAGGACCCAUCGUAUAAAUCAUAUAAAUCUUCAUUUUCUUUUGGAUUUUCUUGGGCUCUUAGUUCGGCCUUGCUCCAAUCAUCCACGCAUGAUUGUGCUUCUAAUGAAUCGGGUGUCAUACGAGAUCGUGUUUCAUCAAGUAUGUUUCCUCCUUGACUAAAAGCUUGUUCAACCGCAACAGUGGAGACCGGAGCUGCUAAAAUUUGUUUUGCAAGUAAAGAAAGAAUUGGAAAAGUAUUUGCGUGAUGACUCCACCAAUCUAAAAUUGGAAAAUCAGUAUCUGCAUAAUCAUCACCAAACUCAAAACAAGUGAUUAGAUAAUUUUCAAAUUCAGAAAAAGAACUGGAUUCCCUUGUUCUUUUUUGUCUUUGUAGUAAAACUUGUUGAGCAACACCAACACCACUUACCCUUUGUGUUGGAAAUUGUUGAAUAUUAGAUUGAGAAGAAGUAGAAGUAGAUGAACUAGAAACUUGAACAAAUUCAUUAUAUAAUUGCAUAAAAAUUUUUUUAACUUCAUUCAUUACUACAUUUAUAUUAACAUUAUUUUCUACAUCAAGAUUUAAUACUUCAUAAUAAAUAGUUAAAUAAUCACAUAAAACAUCAAGUUUACAUGUAGGAUCAAAUACAAUAACAACAAGAUAAAGGGUGGUAUAUUUUUAAAAUAAGAUAACCNNNNNNNNNNNNNNNNNNNNNNNNNNNNNNNNNNNNNNNNNNNNNNNNNNNNNNNNNNNNNNNNNNNNNNNNNNNNNNNNNNNNNNNNNNNNNNNNNNNNNNNNNNNNNNNNNNNNNNNNNNNNNNNNNNNNNNNNNNNNNNNNNNNNNNNNNNNNNNNNNNNNNNNNNNNNNNNNNNNNNNNNNNNNNNNNNNNNNNNNNNNNNNNNNNNNNNNNNNNNNNNNNNNNNNNNNNNNNNNNNNNNNNNNNNNNNNNNNNNNNNNNNNNNNNNNNNNNNNNNNNNNNNNNNNNNNNNNNNNNNNNNNNNNNNNNNNNNNNNNNNNNNNNNNNNNNNNNNNNNNNNNNNNNNNNNNNNNNNNNNNNNNNNNNNNNNNNNNNNNNNNNNNNNNNNNNNNNNNNNNNNNNNNNNNNNNNNNNNNNNNNNNNNNNNNNNNNNNNNNNNNNNNNNNNNNAAAUAUCACAACAAAUUGAAACACGAAUUUUCAUUUGAGAAAAUAAAAGCUCUAACUCUUUUUUUCCUUUAUUAUAUAAAGAAAUAAUAGUUCGUUUUACAGUAUUUCUUGGUACUCUUUUAGCAGAAGGAUUUAAAGCUUUUUGACAAUAAUUAUUAAAACCUACUUUUUCACCAAAACUAAAAGAUAAAUGUUCCAUAGAAAUCAUUUUUGCUAAUUCUUCUUUUUGUAUUUUUUCAGAAUAUUGAAAUAAAGAAAGGUUAGAAGGUGCGUACCCGGAAAUUUGUGUUUGAGACCGAUCAACUCCUAUUUUUGUUGGAUGUUUUGCCUCCAAAUGCUUCCAAAAUGAUCCAUAGCCACCCGCUUGUUUAAAUUUAUAAGAUUUUGCACAAUAAUUGCAAAUUACAUCGUACAUUUUCUCACCUUUGAAUUUUUUCGUGAAAUGAAUGGCGAAUAUGUCGGAAUUUUGCCUUGCUCUUCCAACAAUUUGUGCUCGUUGCUCUUGCUCUUGCUCUUCCUCUUCUUGUAAUUGCUCAUUAAAUUCGGAUUCUUGAGUUGGAAUUUCCAAAUUUUCAUUUGGAUAUCCCUUAAAAUUAAAUUGGUUGGGAGUGAAAUCAUAGAUGUCGUUUGUAGGGAUAGAUAAAUAUCGUGUUUCUCCAAUCUUUCCUUGCCCUUACCCGAAUUUGAGUUUCCUCCACUUGCCAUUAUAUGAUAAUAAGAUAUAAUUUGAAAAUUUUAAUAAAAAAAAUUAGAGAGAAUAAUAACUUAAUAAGAGAGAUUGUAGAGUAGAGAAGAAUAAUAUAGAGUAGAGCGUAGUAGAGUGUAGUAUAUUAUAGAGAGAGUAAGUAGAGAGAGUUGAGAUUUUUUUGUUAUAAAUUUGUAAAUAAAAUGAGGUAUUUAUAAUAAAUUCAAAAAAUUAUUUUUUCAAAAAUACCCUUGAAACUAGCCGUUAUGUAGCCGUUUAUGGCUGUUGGGGGUAAUUAAGAGAUUUCACAACAAAAUUAAAAAAAAAAAAAACUGGUCUGACAGUUUAUAACGGCUAACUCUGCUGUUUGUGGAAGUUGUGGAACAUAAUGCCCUGCAUAGCUCUCUGCAGAAAUGUAGAAAGCUCUAUCUUUGUAUUCAGGAAAUCUCUUCAGCCAAUUUACCAAGAAUAUAUAAUUAUCCUCUGCUGUUUUUUUUGUCUCCAUUGUUAUCAUAAUCCGAUGUCCUAUUAGAGUAUAUUAUGUUGGUGUAUGUGCAAUUAUUGCAUGGAAUAAUAGUUGGUGUAUGUGCAAUAAUUAUCUUUUUUUUUUUUUUUUUUUUUUUUUUUUUUUUUUUAUGAAAACUGCCAGAAAUAAUGAUUAUUAACCGUUUAAAUUUUAAAAACUACUUACCAAUAAUUAUCUACCGUACGUUCGAACACCAAACCAAUAAUUGAUUUCCUAAAUUUAUAUUCACUUACAGCUUAAUUUUUCCAUAUGAGGCACUUGACUCGUUUGGCCAAUGCAUUUACCCCUCUAUUUUAUUUUUUUUUCAAUCAAUAUUAUUUUUAAGAAUCCAAAUCACUUAUUAAUAUUUAGGCUUCGGUUGUUCCUGUAAAAUAACUUUCAAGAAAAUAUUUUUCACAAUUUCCCAUUAUUAGGGCAUUCAGAAAAAUAAAUCAACGGAAAAUAUUUUAAUCAUUUUUAAGGAAAAUGACUUUCCAAUUUCAAGAGAGGAAAAUAAAUUUAUAUAUUCAUAUUUUUUAAUUUAUUAGUCAUUUAUAGCCACUGCCACCCGUCACCGUGUACCACCAACUAUCAUUGCCGGCUACCCUCGGCCACUACCAUCGGCUUUCAUAAUCUACCAUUUUUUACAUUUUCAUCAUAUUUAACAAAAAAAUUUUUAAAAUACGAAAUUUUUAUUGUUGUUAAUAUUUUUAUGAUCUUAUGAGUUAAAGAUUCUAAUAUUUUUAAUUAUUGAAAUUAAAUAAGAAAAAUAAGUCGUUUGAAAAAUAUUAUUUAAUCCAAAGAUAAUUUCCAAAAACAAACGCAUGUAAUUCAAUAUCAAGGAAGAAUAUAAGAAAAGCAAGUGAAAGUUCAUGGUUUUGUCAUUAAGACCCUUUUAAGUGAUUUUUACUCAUUUGCCUUUUCCCAGAGACAAAUAUUAUGUUAUGGAAACUUUAUUUUCCUCUUUAUAUGGUGUUUUUCACUUCAUUACAGCAAUCAUCAAUAAGAUAACGUUUAACAAUUUUGGGAAUAAUAUGGUUAACUAUAGUUACCUAUAUAUAUAUAUUUAUAUUGCUUUUAUAAUCUCUUGAAAAAGGCACCCAUUAAAAUAAUUAAGUGUAUUAUUGACAACUCACUCGAAUAACUCAACAAAAAGACUUUUGGAUUUGGCAGCAAUUAUUUUAGUUUAUUUUUGUAAGUAAUUUUCAGCUUUCUUCUUCGUGCUAUGUGAUUUCUUGCGACUAGAUUAAAGAAUUUGAGCUUGGAUGGUAGUUGUGAUGGAGUUAGGGAUCUUAAAUACUGUUUAUGCGAGAUUAUUCAAAUAAAUUCCCAAAAUUUAUGAUGCCAUUGAUAUUAUAAAUUGAAUUUUUAUGAAGUAUAGUAUAAGAAUGUAACAGUUGAAGAUAUUGACUUGAGAUUGAGCAUGAAUUUCUGUUUGUGAAGAGCCUUGGGAUUCAAAAACACUGUGCUGAAAAUAAUUCGGGAAUUUUGAUAUUAAUCUCUAAUUGAAAUAUAAACUGAGAUUUAAUGUAAAAAUUGUUAGUUUAUAUGAAUUAAUAACCCCUGAGAUGGCAGUAGUUAUAUGAUGUUGUGAGUGAAUUUUGUGAUGGGGAAUGAAUUAAUUAUAUAUGGCGUAUGAGUUUGGUGAAGAAAAACGAUGAUUUCUUGAAAUUAGAGGUAGCUAAGUGAGUAUUUCCCUGAUUAUGGAUUGUAGCAAGUCAAGAUAUUUGGUGCUUUAGUUAGUUUCACAUUGGUUACAAGAUAUUGGAAGUAUUUUCGUUUGGAAUAAGAUUUAAUCAUAAUAUUCUCAUUCUUUGUGACUGAAAGGAAAAAGGAAGACAUAAAAAUAGUUGAAUGUGAAUUGGAACUUGAAAUUUUCAUUUUUAUUUUUAGAAUAGUAGCUUGGUGCAUUUUUAUUUGUUAUUUAUUUAGUUAGAAAAGAGAAUGAAUGUCAUACUUUUAUUAUCAGUACAAUAUGAUGGGAAUAGAAAUGUCUGUUUUUGUUAACUAGGCUAGUUAAAGCUAAUUGUGUAAAUAUGCAUAUAUAUAUAUAUAUAUAUAUAUAUAUAUAUAACGAUUAAUAAAUGAUUUUAUUUAGAAUAUAAAUUAAAUUUUAUAAAGAAGUUGUGAUGGUUGGAUGACGAUGUUGGUAUUAAGAGGAGGUUGGGUAUUUGAUUUGAUUGAAUACCCGAUGGAUGGACUGUGUAUUGAUUGAAAAUAUUUGACGUUAUUAUGAUAUUUAAUCAGGUGGAAACUCCUAUUUUUAGAGGAGGUUUUGCUGAAAUUUCGACAAAAUCUUGAAUAAAUCAUACUUAAUAAAUAGGUUAUUAGAUUUAUUUAGAAUGAUUUCUUAUUCUUAUUAGGAGGAAUUCUUUAUUUAAUUCUUCUCCCCUAUCAAUUCUACUUCAUAUAGAUUAUUCAAGAUUGUCUUAUGCUUUUAAAAAAAAAAAAAAAAAGAACUAUAAUUAGAGUAUUCCCUUUCUUAUUGCCGCGAGUUAUAAUAAAUAGUAUAUUAUCAUUUACAUCGUGUAUACAUACAUUAUUAUAUAAUGUUACAAUUUCUUACUUAUUUAUUUAUUAUUUAUUUAUUUAUUAAUUUAGUUUAUAGCGUAAAUAUCCAUUAUUUUGUACUUGACUUAUAUAUGUGUAUAUUUGAACAUUUGCAUAACAAUGUUUGUUUAUUUAAUGUGCUUGCAUUUGAAUGCAAUGUUUGAUUAGAUGUGUUGUGAUGAUGAUAUGCUUUGUUUGCGUGGAAUUGAGACGAAGUGGGUCACCAUUGGAUUUUUGAGGGCGGUCUACGAUACCGUCAGCCAUAUAUGGGGAGAUCGGCGCAUCCGUGUAAAUCUGAUGAUAUGGAUUAUAUGAAAAACCACAGGGUGAUCUCUUGUUGGUAUAGAAAGAAAAGAGAGUAAAAAAAAAAAAUUAGUGAGCUGGUCAAGUGAGAAUUAAACCAAUCGGCCAUGUAUGGGGAUCAGUCAUGUAUAAGGAUGAGACCAGUCGGCCAUGUGUUAGUGGUUGAGAAUAAAUUACAUGUUCUGUUCAGUUGGUUCUAACUCAUAAUGCAUAAAUUGGAAAAGUUUCUAUAGGUGUUAGAAGUUGAAGAAUCUCACGUUGCAUAUAGAUGACGUGCUACAUUUUCUCUUCGCAGUACUGGAAUACAUUGAUUUUUUUUUUUUUUUUUUUUUUAAUCAUGAGUUCAUUAUAGCUUUUAUUCUUCAUUGUUCCGACACUGACAUGAGCUGAUUUUAUACAUAUCAAAUCUUGGCUGCAAAUAAUGCAAUUAUUUCUUCAGGUCCGCUAAAACCGGGACUGCUUAGGCCAGAACUCGAGAUUGUCAUAAUCGUCUCAAAUCCAAUCCCUGCUGGUAAGUAUAAAACUUUCAUGGAUUAUUUUCGAUGUUUUUGGUUUCUACAAUCUACAACUGUAAUUUUAUAGAGACUGCUAUUAGUUAAGCUUGCAAAGUUUGGUGAGAUACUCCAAAUUUUCUAUUGAUGUUUUAUUUUCAGAUGUUAUUCAUCCAUGUAUUGUCACUUAGCAUUUCUAAUCCUAGGAGGGUCUGUCCUUCAUACAAAACAUCUAGUCAAGAAUUAAAUGAUCUCAAAUAAUUUCCUAUUCAUGCAAAUCGACAGCUCGUCCGCACCGAGAUGCAAAUGACUUACAUUUGCAAGUGGAGUUGAGAUUUUAUAAGUAAUUAUUUGGCAAUGUGGCUUUAUGGAGCAAAAUUUGAUUUUGAAUGAAAAAAUUACAUCGAAAGAAUCUAUAUGUGUCAAAACCUAAUAAUAAUUUAUUUUCUUUUUCUUUUGCAUUGAGCAGGGGGAAUUUGAACCAGGAUUUAUAGUUAGAUUAUAUAUGCAUUUACCAUCACUCUAUUACGGCUUGUUGCGCAUAAAUCUAAUAAAAUUAAGCUAAUAAUUUGGCUAUUAUUUAUAACAAAUGAACACAAUAAAAUUCUAAUAAAAAGAAUAAAAUUGAUGUACAUAGAUUAUGAAAUUUUUGGAAGAGGCUUGCGAAGAAGAAAGUGGUGAAUAAGUGAAAGCUCACUUGCAGGCUGAAAGGCAGGCACUUCAUGUCCAGCCCCUCUCACUGUAACAAAAGUAAAGUCUCCUUUAUAAAUUUCUGUAUACCCACUAACCUGAAACACAAACAUUCAGUUUUAAUAGGAAAAUUUAACUUUGGCGAGUGAGUUGUUACUUCCAUUAAGCUUGGAUUUGUAAAGGUUGUCAAGAAUUUCACUUUGCCUGUUGCUAAUGCUAUGGCUCUGGGAUGUUAAAUAAGAAAAAAUGAAAAAGAAAAGAAAUAGGUUUUUCCCCAUUGCACGAAAAGGUUUUAGGGUUUUUGAUUUUUGUUUCUUGAAUCCAAAUUAUGUGUUUAUAUUAUGUAGACAGGUGUUAUGAGAGAGAAUAUAAUAUAUUUAAUUUUCACAAUUUUGGGGAAUCACUCCUUUUGUGGCCUCAUCAAGGGCCCUUCUUAAAAAUGGUCCCAGCUGUAUUUUUGUCGGUAAAGGAUGAUUUUAAUAUAAUGCUUUGUUGAUAAAGAAGACUUUAGUCCAUUCAUUAAGUGAUAUGCUCUACCCACUUUAGUUAGUGCUUGUCUACUCCAAAAUGUGAACCCCGUAAUGCCCCGUUUGUUGUUUUUCUAUUUUUCAAUUUUGAAAGAAAUACCUAUCGUUUAAAUUUAUUAUUUUUGUUAUUUCAUAUUUUUAAAACAAAAAAAAGAAUUGAGUGUCGAAAUUUAAAAGAAAAUUCACAAAAUUCAUUCUUUGUUUUUUAAUUCAAUUUCUGAAAAAUAAAUUUUAAUUUAGAAAAAUGGAAAUUGAAAACUAACAAGAUAAAAAUUAGAAACUAAAAUUAGGGUAAACACCACUUAAGGAUUCUUUGUUCCAACGGUAGGUUGGCAUCUAAUACCAAAAAGAUAAGGAAACUACUCAAGCAGUUGAUCAUUUUUUUAAUACAUCAAAAAAUCAUUAAAGGUUAUUACACAUCAAUAGGACAAUAAUAAUAAAAUAAAAAGCAAUGGUGCCAAAGAAAUUCGAGGCUUUAUAGGCACUCUUUGUUUUUUUUUUUUUACGUAAUAAUGGUAUUCUUUUCUUGAAGCUCAAGCGGGUCUUUUCAAUGGAGUAGGUGGGGACCUUAGGAAGGAACCAAUUUCUCUUCAUUCACUGAAAAUAGUCAUAAACACUAGAAAUGCCUGUUUAGCUUUUCAGUUUCAAUCACCUGCCAAUUUUGUGUUUGGUAUUACAACUUCCUUCGAGUCUUUGAUACUGCAACUCCACUUUCAAUAACCGAUCAAUUCUUCAAUUGGUCGAAUUUUCUGCUGAAAAUUUUGAUCAUCCUCUCUUUGUGAUGGAAAUUGCAUCUGCUAUUGGAGGUGCUCUUCUAGCACCUGCCUUUGAGUCUUUGUUUAAUAAGUUGGCUUCCAAGGACUUGCUCAAUUAUGCCCGUGAAGGACAUGUGCUGACUGAAAUCAACAAGUGGAAGGAGAUGUUGGAGAGCAUCUGUGGCGUUCUUGAGGAUGCAGAGGAGAAGCAGACGGUGAGCAAGCCGGUGAAGAUGUGGGUAAGACAGUUGAGGAACCUGGCGUAUGAUUUGGAGGACAUUCUUGAUGAGUUUGAUUUUGAGGCUCGUCGAUCCAAGUUGAAAGCUGAACCUGUGGCUGGUUCAAGUAAGGUGCGAAAGCUCUUCCAUAAUAUUCGUGCGGUCAAAUUCAAUAAAGAGAUGAUUUCCAAGAUAAAGGGAAUUAGUUCCCGACUAGAAGAUAUCACCUCACGAAGAAAUCAACUAGAUUUGAAAGAAAGGCCCGGUAGAAAGAGUGAAAGGAUUCCUGCGACGUGCUUGGUGAAUCAAGCCGAGAUUUAUGGGAGGGAGAAAGAUAAGAAGGCGAUUCUUGAACUUUUGAAUUCUGAAUCAAGUGAUAGAAGGGUUGCUCUGAUUUCUAUAGUUGGACUGGGAGGUGUUGGUAAGACAACUCUAGCGCAGCUUAUCUUUAAUGAAGCUGGAGAGAAGUUUGAUUUGACGGCUUGGGUUUCUGUCGGUGAAGAUUUUGACGUGGUUAGACUUACAAAAACAGUUCUUCAGUCGGUCGGUGGAGAUCUUACUUCCAACGAUUUGAAUUCGCAUCAAUUAGACCUGAAGGCAAGGCUGUCAGAGAAGAAGUUUUUUAUGGUUCUAGAUGAUGUUUGGAACGAGAAUUAUGACCAUUGGACAAUCUUUCUUCGCCCCUUUGAGAAUGGGGCAAAAGAAAGUAGAAUUAUCGUCACAACUCGCAAUCUUGCCGUUUCACAGACGAUGGGUGCUAUUCAAAGUUAUACACUUGGAGUGUUGGAGAAUGAUGAUUGCCUGUCUGUGUUUGCCCAUCAUGCUCUUGGAGUAACAAAUUUUGAGGAGCACUUGGAUCUAGAAGCAAUAGGUAAGAAGAUUGUGGAAAGGUGUCAAGGCUUACCUUUGGCAGCUAAAGCUAUUGGAGGUCUCUUACGAGGUCAACCAACUCGCGAUGCAUGGGAACAAGUGCUAAACAGCGGCAUUUGGGAGGAGAAAGGCGACAUUCUUCCAGCAUUAAAGUUGAGCUAUCACCAUCUUCCACCUCAUCUGAAACGAUGUUUUGUUUAUUGUGCAAUUUUUCCACAAGAUUACAAAUUCGAUGAGGAUGAGUUGGUUCUACAGUGGAUGGCUGAGGGAUUUGUACAGCACGCACAGGAAAUGAAGCAAAUGAAACGCUCGGGUCAUCUAUAUUUCCAUGAUUUAUUAUGGAGAUCCUUUUUUCAACAAUCUACUGGCAAUAAAUCACGAUAUGUGAUGCAUGACCUACUCAAUGAUCUAGCUAAAUCUGUAAGUGGAGAAAUAUGCCUUCAUUUGGACGAUGAUAAGUUGAAGGGCAUAAAAUCACAUGCAAACGUUCGCCAUUCAGCGUUCGCUUGUCAUCGCUAUGACAGGUAACAAAGAUUUGAAGUCUUUUAUGAGAUGAGUAAUCUGCGAACAUUCUUAGCAUUAUCCCCUAAUCAAUGGGGACAUAAUUUUUUAUCUAUUAGAGUGGUGCAUGACAUAGUGCCCAAACUGAAACGUUUAAGGGUGCUAUCACUAGCUCCAUACGAGUUUGAAGAGUUGCCAAGUUCAAUUGGGGCCUUAAGGCAUUUACGAUAUCUGAACUUGUCUUACAACGCCGGGAUUAAAAGAUUACCUAAUUCACUGAUAAAUCUUCAAAACUUGCAGACACUGAAGUUAUGUGCUUGUCGGAAUCUUAUUGAGUUGCCCACAGGCAUUGGCGCUUUAAUCAAUUUGAUGCACCUCGAUCUUAAAGGUACGGAUGCUUUGCAGGAGAUGCCAUUGGGGGUAGCUAAAUUGAUAAAUCUUCAAAUAUUGUCUAAGUUUAUGGUGGGAAAAGGAAGUAAUUGCCUUGGACUUAGAGAGGUAAUGAACCUCCCUCAUCUAGAAGGACAACUUCGUAUUGAAGAGCUACAGAACGUGGCAAGGAUCGAAGAUGCAAAUCUCGUUGAUUUAAAGAAGAUUGAGAAUCUUGGUGAUUUGGCCUUGGUAUGGACCCGCGUGAUUCACCACGCGAAGAGGAUCAUGAAUUCCAGGUUCUCAACUUGCUAGAACCUCAUCAAAAGUUGGAAAGCCUUUCGGUUCAAUUUUAUGGCGGUAAGCAAUUUCCUUUGUGGAUAGGAGAUCCUGCAUUCACAAAUAUGGUGGAUCUAGAGCUUUGGGAUUGUCAGAAUAUUACCUCGCUGCCACCGCUAGGUAGACUAUGUAAACUGAAAAGGCUGUGCAUCAAAGGCAUGGAUGAACUGCAAGAAGUAGGGCUUGAGCUUUCCCCGUCCCUUCAGAUUCUACAAAUUGAGGAUAUGUUGAAGUUGAAGCAAUGGGCUCACUCUGAUGACGUCAAUGUAGAGGUUACAAGAAAAUUUCCCAGACUACGUCGCAUUUGGAUAGGCAAAUGUCCUAAAUUGGUUGUGACAUUGCCUACCUCCCUUCCUUCCCUUGAGGUAUUGGACAUUCGUGGAUGUAAAGAUAUUAUUCUCGAAAGUGUGCACGAUCUAUGUUACCUUCAAACCUUGUCCAUUUCGAGUAUUUCAGCGCUUCAAAAUUUACAUCAAGUGGUUACGCAGUCCUUGGUGGCGCUAGAACAUCUGUCCAUUGAUAAUUGCCGCCAAUUGAUACACCUGUGGCAGGGUUCAACUGAUUUAGACAAACUUUCUAGGUUGAAAUCUCUAAGGAUCCAAGGUUGUGAGAAGCUAAUGUCUUUGAUAAGAGGAGAAGAAGGGAAUUUGCCUUGCAAUCUUGAAAUUUUGGAGAUAAUGUGCUGCAAUGGAUUGGAGAUUCUGCCAAAUGGGUUGCAUAGCCUUGUGUCUCUUAGAGAGCUGAAUAUCUGUCAGUGCCGAAACCUUGUGUCCUUCCCAUCUGCGGGCUUACCUUGUAGUCUUAAAAGUCUCGAUAUCAAAUAUUGUGAUUCUCUGGAGUCCUUGCCUAAGGGCAUUGUGCAUGAUAGUAACACUAGGAAUGAGAUGUCUCAUCUUGAGGAUGUGAGUGUCAGUGGAUGUCCAUCUCUUACAUCGCUUCUAGUUGGUGAAUUUCCCUAUUCAAUUAAAGAAAUUGAAAUUUGCUUUUGGACGACACAACUGUUGGAGUCGUUUCAUAAUAGGUUUUCGCAUCUCACCACAUUAGCAAUAUGUUACUCUAAGUUGGAGUCUUUCCCAGAAAGUGGAUUGGCCAUUCCCAACCUUAGCCGUUUAAAAAUCGCCAACUGUGGGAAUUUGAGGUUGCUUCCCAAUCAAAUCCAAAAUCUCACAUCUCUUCUCGAUUUAGAUAUACAUAGUUGUGGAGGUUUGGUGUCCUUUCCAGAUGAGGGUUUACCCCCAAACCUUCAAUCUUUACAUAUAUGGAACUGUGGAGGUCUGGUGUCCUUUCCAGAUGGCGGUUUACGCCUAAAACUAGGUCAUCUUAUAAUUUCGCAUUGCAAGAAUCUGAACCAGCCAAUCUCAGAGUGGAGACUCAAAAGACUCGCCUCUCUCACCUGUCUCACAAUCGAAGGGCCAUGUCCAAGUACAGAUAUGGAUUCCUUCCCAGAUGAGAAGGGCCUACUGCUUCCCUCUUCCCUAACCUCUCAUAAGCUCGAAGAUAUUAAAAAUCUGAAAUCAAUAUCCAGGGGCAUUCACCAUCUCACCUCUCUUGGUGAUUUAAGAAUUGGAGAUUGCCCUAAACUCCAGUCCUUUCCCAAGGAGGGCCUUCCGACCACACUUGAAUGGUUGAAUAUCUUCGAGUGUCCCCUCCUGGAAAGACGAUGCAGAAAAGAGAAAGAAGACUAUUGGCGCU
rnacentral:lncRNA from 1 species